rnacentral:lncRNA from 1 species
AAAAAAAAAAAAAAUCAUAUGUUUGAUAAAAUUUAAAAAGCAUUUUUAAGAAGUUAAAAAAGCCCUUUCUUGGAAAAGAACUUAAGAGGUGAUUCUCCUAAAAUUAUUUUUCUCAAUUAAAAGUACAAAAAAAAAGAAGAAAAAGCUUUGAAACGUACUCUCAAUUUAUUUUUAACCAUUUCUUAUGCAACGAAUUCAAUUAUCUAAAUAUUAGUUAUUAAUAAAAAAUAUAUAUUUUAAUUAAUUAAUUUUCAGAAAAUAUUUUUCAGAAUUUAUGAAUUUCCAAACCACAUGGAACAUGUUCCACCCAAAAUCAUAAAAAAAUCCCAUUGGAAAUGAACCAAUCAUCUUCUUCCAUGUGGAAACCACUGCAUUUCCCACCAUACCUUAAUGCAUGUAUAAAAAGAAUUAAAAUAAUAAUAAUACUAAUAAAUUGAAAGAUGCUACCUAUGGGGUGCACAGGAAAUCUGUGCAACCACUCUUGUCUUCACUGCUGAGACUGUAAAAAAGAGAGAAAGUGGGGGAAACCGAGGCAAGGAAGAUAUAGAGCUGUGUAAUUUCUAGAAACAAAGAGAGAGCAGAACUGUGUGAUUGGAAGAUGGUUUGUACAGGUCGAAUUUUGGCGGUUUCGUACUCUCCGACGACCUCGUUUCAUCGCAAUUAUCGGUACUCAAACUCCAGAUUUCUUCAAGGAAACCUCAAAUCGAAUCUGAAAUGGCGAUCCAUGGCGUCUGAGCCGGAGGCUUCUUCUUUUGCAUCUUCAGUUGAUUCCGAUUCUUCCGAUAAAAACUCCACUGGGUACUUCCAACUUCAUAUUUUUUUUCUUGUAUAUAUUCUGUUCCCUAUUGGAAGAAAAAUAAGAAUUAGAAAGUGAAAGAGGAGAAAUUUGGUUCCAAGAAAAAGUGGCUUUGGCAGAACAAUUCAGGGCUUGUUUGGCGGUGUUCGUUUGAGGAGAUGAAAACCAUGAAUAUGUUGAUUUUUAGAUUGCUUUCAAUUGUUGAAGUGCAUGAAUUUUUUAAGAUGUGAAAAAAAUAUGAAAACAAUUCAAUUUUCAGGAUAUGGUUUUUGGAAACUUGUUAGAAAUUUCCGUGUCAUUUCCAUUGGAUCAUAAAUCGACAGGAAUCACAAAUAUACUUCAACAAUGUCAAACAACUUUUUGACGUUGAACUCACUUUUUGACCUCAGCUCUACUUAUAUUCAACCGAGUUGAGCUUGACUAGCCCAAUAACCAAUCUACUCGGCUUGUUUGCUCAACAAUUUGUCGGGAAAGUAACAGAGGUUUCUUAAGAAAAAGUAACCCGACCAUAAAACUCUAUUUCCCCUUGCCAAGUAUUAUUACUUAAAAAGCAUGUCUUUAUCUUUUAAAGAAAGCAUGUUUGGAUUAUAGUUGUAUUGCAUAGACACUUAACUUGUCACAUGGCAUGCUUAUUGUUUAUAUGGGUUCCAUUCUAUGACAUGAAAAAUGAAAAAAAAAAAACAUCAUUGAAUGAUUUUAUGUGAAUUAAAUCAUCUGUCACAACCUUCAUUUUGGGCACACCAACCCUCACAACUUUAAAACAUGUUAACAUGUUUACACGUAUUAGAUGAAUCACUCCUUAUAAGUGCCAAAAACUUCUACUAGGUGAUGUGAGACAUCACAAUCACCCUCCCGUAUAAUCAUGAUGGCUUUUUCGUGGCUCAUAGGCUCACUGGUUGCCAAAUUCCACAAUUUUUGUAUAGAUAUUGUUUUGUUUAAGUCCAUUACCUCUCAUAACUUUAAAACACAUCUACAAAUACCAGAUGAGUUCCACCUUAUAAAAGGAAAGUUCUUGACAUUUAUGAGGACAACUAUUCUGGUAUGUGCAUAUUUAAACGUGUUUUUAAAGGCGUGAAGUCGAUGGAUUCAAAGUAAACAAUAUCUACAUGAGUUAUAACAAUAUCAAUCCUAUUGUGUAAGGUUCAUUUUUUUUUUCCACCCAAUUAUGCUUCUAGUUAAAUUUAUCAAAUGGUUUGUUUCAAUUGUCAUAUGAGCAUGUCACGAAGUAUCAUAGAUGAAAAGUGAGGAAAUUAUGCUCAUGAAAUUUGCGAGACUUCUUUUGGAUAAAAGAUUUUCUCUUAUGGGUCUUUUUGGGGGGACAAGUAUUUGAAUGGUUUUUUCAUUAUGAUGAAGUUUUGUUAGAAGUAAUUUGGAAGUUUCCUUUAAAUUUAUCGGUCCCUUCAUCCCCUAAAGUCUUCAUCCUGAAACAAUGCACUGUUUUCUUUGCAUAUAACUUCAUUGCAUUGUAACUCCUUUUCUUGUCUCUUCCUAAUCACAUUAUCCGUUGAAGUUAUCCAUUUUUUAUUUUUAUUUUUUAUGAGAUAAGAAAUGAACAUAUUGAACAAAAUACAAAAAAGAGAUGUGGGAGCCAUAGAAGAGCAAGAUUUCCUCAUAGGAAAAGGUGUAAUUUCCAAUCUUGCUUUUACAGUCUUCCCUCUCUUAGAUUUGUGUAAUUAUCUUUUCUGCAAUUGACGUGAAUAAUUAAACAUUUUGUUGAUUGAUUUCCCAUCAAUAUAUAAUUGCCCGUCAUGGUGCUUGGUUGGUUAGAGCAAAUGCUAGUAUCUGUGGUAGAGGUGCAUGGUGUUGUUGGUUGAAUGCCCUGGUUAUCUGGUGCUGGUUGUGACAGGCACAUUCAACACCCUGAGGUUGGGUCACCAUGGAGAGUCUGAAGGGCUUGGUCAUGGAAGGUUCCUUGGUUAUUAAAAAAAAAUGAUAAAUAGUCGUGUUGUCUGCAGUGGAUGAGCUUAAAUGUGGUUCAGCUGUGUUGAUUUGUCCACUUGUUAUGCUUUGAAUGCAGCUUUUGUAUUAUUGAAGGACCUGAAACAGUACAGGAUUUUGCCAAAAUGGAACUGCAAGAAAUUCAAGAUAAUAUUCGAAGUCGGCGAAACAAAAUUUUCUUGCAUAUGGAGGAGGUGAGUUUUGGAGGUACGAAAUUCUCUCAAAAAGGCAUGCAUGUGACAAUUUUCUUGCAUAAAAAUUAAAAAAGAAAAAAAUAAAAAUAAAAAGAAGACAUUUCUGUAGGAAAUCUAGGAGAUAUUUUUUGUUAUUCAAAUAUUUCUAUUUUGUUUAAAUAAUAAAUCUGAUUAUAUCAGAUUCUAGGAGUUAGUUGCUGUUCUUUUAAAUUAUUGCUUAGAGUUUAAAUUUAAAUCUUUUAUCCUGUUUUUUAGGCAUCAGGUUGUUCAUAAGUCUCCUAGUUUCUAGGCGGCAAAAUUGUUAGCUAUUCUCUAGCUAUCUAUUUAAAUAGUUGUAAUCGCCAGCUUUGUAAUCAAUUUGAAUUUCAAAAGAGUUGAGAAAUCAGUUCGGUUUCAGUUUCUUUCAUUAUGUCGUUUUCAAAAGCAAACCUGUGGCAUUAUAACUUCCUUUAGGCAUCAGUUUCUAGUGUUGAGAAAAGAUGGGCUAAUGCAUCAGUUAAUGUCCUAUCCUAAAUGUAUUUUCAAGUAGCAUUACAAACUUAUAGUGCCACAUUCAUGGGGAUUUCCAAAUAUUGAACAGCUGCUAGUGGUUUCAGAAGAUCAUCAGAAGAUUAUGUAGCAUCUAAAAUCAGAUCCAAUGAUGGAAAUGCAAGGAUGAAAAGAAAAAAGUUACCAAAUUGAGCUAAUAGAUGAGAAAAUCUUGGAAAAUAAACUGCUAUUCUGUUGCAGUCAGCACACCCUGCCCCAUUAAGCAGUUGAUGCUAGUGAAAAACUACAGUUGAUUGGCAGAAGUUCAUUCUCAUUCUUUGGUAUUUAACUUUAAAGAGCUUGGACCUCCAUCAUAUAUUCACUUGAUUUUUCCCUAGCCUUUGUGUCCUGCCUCACUGUUACUUUAGAUUCCUUCUUUUCCAAAUAUUUGUGCAUACAUUUUUCUUGUUAGUACCAAUUGAAUCUCUUAUAGUUUUGUUGCAUAUUAAAAGAAUUAAAGAGAUUUCUGGCUCUUAAAUCUCCAAUUUCUAGUCUUCAAAAACAAUAUGGUUUCUUGAUAUAAUUCGACAAAGCAUUCUGUAUUAUUUUUUGGUAAUGGUCCAUUAAAAUUAUUCAAGGAACUAUCACUAUUAUUUUAAGAUAAUAAUACAUCUCCAUUAAAGAGCAUGAUAUAUAUUGUGAACCCUAAUCCUACAAGCGUAAGCAUUUAGGAAAAUUGGUAGUUCAAUAUGGCAUUAGAGCCUCGUUUGACUGGAGGUCGUGUGUUGCUGUAUAUUUAUUUCCCUAAUUUAUUGAGUAAAUCCAAAAGAGGCUAAUUGUGGUUGUUUGUCUAUGGGCUUGUGCAUCUCUCCACAUGAGGGAUUGGGGCUGCAUGUGAAGUAAUUAAAGAGCAUGAUAUACAUUGUGAGCCCAAAUCCUAUAAGCUUAGGCUUUUAGGAAAAUUGGUAGUUCAACACCCUCAUUUUAUAUACCAUCAGUAUCUUACAAGUUUUUUCCUUAUCCAUAUUUAUGCUUAAAAAUUUAUUUUUUUCCUUAGGAAGUUCCACUGCUAAUUUUAACACAUUUCCUUCCCUUUUACUCUUCUCUCACUUAAUAUAUGCAUCUAAUAUCACUAGCAUAAGUCAUGUGGUUAGAUACAAUCCUAAUGUAACUUUAUAAUCCUUAUUCCUUACACUUUUUUUUUUUUUUGAUCAGAAACGAAGAAGAUUAUAUUAAUAAAAGAACAAAUACAGGAGAGAAAAAAGAGACAAAAUAAAGAAUAAUGUAACUUUAUAAUCCUUAUUCCUUACACUUUCACUACAACCUCAUUUGAAGAAAUGGUCAAUCUGAUAUUUGUCUGAUCCUAUGUUUGUUUUGUCAUUAAAGCACUGAAUGCUCUCAGUCUAUGCUUAUUGGGGUUUAUGAAUGAAUGCUAGUUGCCCAUGGUUCUACUCUUUUCCCCUAAUUUUGUGGUAUCACAAUUCUGAUACUGAUGUUUCUUAAUUUUGUAGGUUCGCAGGCUGAGGAUACAACAAAGAAUUAAAAGUGCUGAACUUGGAAUUCUAAAAGAAGAACAAGAAAAUGAACUUCCAAAUUUUCCAUCAUUCAUUCCAUUUUUGCCUCCUUUGGUGAGCUUUCUGAUGAACUACCACUUCCCACUAAAUUUUCAUUUGAACCAAGAAUGUGUAUCAAGCUAUAAGCCAUCCUUACAUGAGGACCCUUCCUGCUUGUGGAGGAGCAUACUGAUACAUAAAACGAGGACUAUGAUAAUUGCUUUUCUAGAGGUUUAAAUCAAGACUUCUUAGAAACAAGGAUACCAAGUUAAAUUACAAUUACUUGCAAACCUGUUAAGGAAUGGACCAACAAUGUAUACCACGCUAACACUUCUUAUUAGACCAAUUUUUUUUGUUACGUCUGUUCUCAAUGAGAGUUUUUAUUUUCAUUCCUCUUAAGCGUUUCCUUUGCAUUCCAUUCCUUUUAAAUUAUGUAGCUUAGAAGUGAAUAUUUUUCUUCUCACUCAAGGUUUUUACUGAGAAAAUAUAUUUCAUGCAGAGUUCAGCAAAUCUGAAACUAUAUUAUGCUACAUGUUUCUCUCUUAUUGCUGGGAUCAUCAUUUUUGGUGGUUUACUUGCACCAACUGUAAGUUAUCAUCCAAUUUGGAUUAUCAUAAUCAGUAACGCUUCUUACUUUUUUCGGGUUGGAUGUCUUCAAAUAAUGGGAAUAGAAUCUGGAAAAAAAUUCUAUGAAAUUAGUUUUGGUUCUUGUUGAGACAUAAACAUAAAUCCCAGUUUGUAAACAUUUUUCUUUCUUAUCUCAGCUGGAGCUUAAGUUGGGAUUAGGUGGCACAUCAUAUGAAGAUUUUAUCCGUAGUGUGCAUCUUCCAAUGCAGUUGAGGUACAACAUAGAUUCUUGUCUCUAAUCACUAUUCAUUAUCCAGUUUAUCUAGUUUUGCUUGCAUUUAUUUUCCAUGGCAAGGUGCUUGAAGUGGUUUCAAGAGUUUGAUUUGCUUUUAGAAUACCUAGUUAGUGGUUAGUCUAGGAAGCAAUUUGUUAUGCAAACUACGGGAAAUAUAUUAUGGUUGCUGCACUAUGAAGCUUAGAUGUAACUGUUGUAUGUGCUUAAUGUUAUAAUAUAUAAUGUUCCCACUAAAUUAUUUGACCAGACGAUUACUUUGGACAACCCAGUAGGGGAAAAAUAAAAGAAAAGAUGGAAACCAAACUGGCAUCCAUUAAACAUUUUCUUUCAUUCUUUUUUUUUCUUUUUUUUUUUCUUUUUACAUUUGUAACCUAACAGUAACUAUAUGGUAACUAUAUGAGUGGAAGUUUGCCAGCAGUCUCCUUGAUCAGAUCCUGACUCUUAUCUUUUAUUUUAUUUAUGAUGCGGCUUAUGGGCAUGGCCUGAAAUAUCAAUGAUAUUAUCAACAUUUUGGUUGAUAUUCCUAUUUUGUGUGAUUACAAUAAUGGAGCCCUCUUAUCAUUUUUUCAAUUUUUUAGAUGGGAUGUCAGCAUAUCAAUGUUGUCAUUUUUAUAUUAUUGGUGAAUUGCCAGUAUUUCAUUCAGUCUCUGUUGAAAAAUGGUGUGAUAUGGUGGUAUCAAUUGAUUUUGGAGGGAUAUUGAUGAUAUUGCUGAUGGCCCACCUUAGGGAUUGAAGAAAAAACAGUAACUACAAUUAAUCGUAUGUAGACUUAUAUUGAAAGGGAAAAGUAAUUCUGGAAUAAUCUUUGGCUACUCAUUUAUGUAUGUGAUAAUCAUCAGAAUAUGGGGCUGAAUAUACCUGAUAUCAUAUGAACUCCAUUGAUCCAAAUCAAAAUAGUCAGGAAAAAGGGAAAUGCCUAUCAUUUGUAGAUCCAUUAAUGUGCUGUGAACUCAUCUUAAGCUCAUGUGAGCUUGAUUGCACCUGAUAAGUAAUUCUCGUUUAUAAAGAAUGAAGUGAGCUACUUGCGGCCUUUUUUUUUUUCAUUAUUAUUAUCUGUUAGGAACAAUUUAGUAAAAAAUACAAAUUGAAAUCUUAAUCUCAUGUUUUUAUCUUUUCUAUAAAAAAUAAAAUAAAAUAAAUAAAAAAUAAAAAAUCAACUAAGCCAGGUAGUUGUAUCACACUCAACAGCAUUUUGUACCUUGCAUAGUACAUAAUACCUGUUUAUCAUAUAUUUUUCUUUUCAAUAUUUUGAUUCUAAAUCAUGAACUAAUGUCAUUAUUAAGACUUCUCAAGGUUUAAUUUUUGGAUUUCUUUAUUUUGCUACUAAUUUUUCCAUCCUUUUUAAUAUCAUUAGAAAUGGUUCAACCUAUCAAAAUUAAUUGAUAUAAAUAAUAUUACUUUUUCUGUCUUUAUGGAUAUUUUGAUGUUGAUGUUUUAAUCUUUGGUCAUGGACGUGGUCUUAAAAAUUUCCAACAUUAAGCCUAUUAAAGAUUUCUAGUGAAGGUAUUAUUUGAAUUUCAGUAAUGGGGUAAGUUGAGUAUAUAAAGUUUGCUACUGCAAAUUGUUAUUUUCUAAUUAAUAAAGGGAGGAGAGAAAACACAUUCUCUUCUAUUAUUCUUUGUUCUCUAACAUGGUAUUAGAGCAUGUUUGAAACCUUGGGUCCUAGUUGCAAACCUUUUUUAUAGGUAAAAUAACAAAAUACAUUAAAACCACUAGGAAAGGGUGCAUCAAUGUACACACGGAGUAUACAAAAAGUGUCCAAAGGCCAGCAAGAAAGUAGAGAGAACAGCAAGGAACAACCAUCCAAACAGAAUCAACACCCAUAGUUUUAAAAGCCAUGCCAAAAGCGAGCCUAGGCUCAAGGCACAACCACUCUCUAAUUAUAGUGCCUCGCUUGCCAAGGUAUGUGCCUUGGAGAGGCAUGCCUUCAUCUACUUUGCUUUUUCUUUUUAAAUUCAAUUAUAUAUUGAAAUUUAUAUAAUUUCAUUACUUUUUUUGUUGAAUGUUUUGUUUAAAUGUUUAGAAUCUUAAAUUUUUUAUUAAUUGGAUUAAAUUUUAGAUAAUAUUUUAAAAAAUUGAGAUGCAUCCUAGGUCAUGUUUCACUUCGCCCAAUGGUGGACCUUGUGUUGUGCUUUUCACCUACAGCCUUAGGUGCACUUUGAACCUUUUAGAACUAUCUGAGCACCCUAACAACCUAGAUAACCAGACUAUUCCCAGCCAAUGCUCUUGCCCCUACUACUCACUAUACUAAGAGACAACCCAUUUCUAGGCUUAUACACCAACAGGAUCAACGAUUGGGGCACCUUUGAUUCCUCAGGCAAUGAGAUCAGGAUUCUUGUUGGUUCUCUCCUUGCCCCUAACUAUUAGAGGAGACCUUUUGUAAUUAACCAAAUACUCUAAUUUUCGGAUCUCCCUCUAGGACUCCUCCCAAACCUUAGGAAAGAUGAUUUCAUAUUUGUGAUGUCUGAUCCAUGCAAUUUCAAACAAGGAAAACAACCUCUACCAUAGUCUCAGUGGAUAUGGGCAACUGAGGAAGAGAAGGUCAAUCAAUUCCGUGCUCCUUGUUUUAUGCUUUUCACCUUGUCAGUUUUUAUGCGUGAUAUACUGUGUCAGAAUAUAAGUGAUAAGUAAAAAGUGGAGGCUCUUUUUGUUUUGGUUUUUGUCUUUUUUUUUUGGUUUUUUUGUCCUAAUCCAAUUCAGUCUCAGUUAUUCUAUGAAAAUCUGAACACAAUGUCUAAUCUGGAGUUUCUCAAUUUUGGGGAUAUAGACAAUUGGUGCCAAAUAUUUCCUGAGUAUUGGGUAGUUAACAUUGUUUUCUAAGUUUAAUUAUAAAUUCAAAGGGAUAUUUCAAUAAUUCUGCAAGUAUUAAUAGAGAUAUGCAAGUGGAAAUCUUAUUUGUUUAUUGCAUUCUGGAAUUUUCAUGCUGAUGAAGGGCUGUAUGUGACUUCUCUAGGGGGACAGAUCAUUGAUGUCAAAUUUACUAUUGUUUGUGUUAUCCUUUACUUCAUUGUUUGGUGGUUGUCAAAAUGCAGUCAGGUAGAUCCUAUAGUGGCAUCUUUUUCUGGAGGAGCAGUUGGAGUGAUCUCAGCCUUGAUGGUCGUUGAAAUAAACAACGUAAAACAGCAGGAGAAUAAAAGAUGCAAAUACUGUCUUGGAACUGGUAUGCAUUUUGGGGUCUCUCAUUUCAAGACGGCCAAGUUUUAGGUUUCUCUUAUGCCUUUUAAUGUCUUGUUUUAAAGUGGUUGUUUUAGUUUAUGCAUUUGUUGUGUAUGUGCUAAGCUUUCUAUAUGCAUCUUUUCUAAAUCUGCUUAACAGGGUCCAAAAUCCCUGUGGUUGAUUGUGGACUUACUAGGUCAGCAACACUAAACUUCCAGUUACUCCUCUGCCCAUUAAAGCCUUAAUACGAUGUUUGAUUCCUAACAUGGAUAAGAGAAACCUCGAAACAAUUAUUCGGGGCAGUAAUAGGUGGAUAUAUGACUCUAAUUUAACUUCCUUUUCCCUCUGCUUGCUGACAACCUAUCCUCCCCUAAGAAGAUGGAAAACAUGCUAGUUUUCUCAUUUCCACCUUUCUGUCCAAACUGGAGAGCAUUUACCCAACACACAUUUUCUUUCAGUACAUGAUCAUAUACUGCAUUUGUAAUUUUGAUUCCAGUCUGUCAUGUUUGUUUUAUCAUUUGGAUGAUGGCAGAAAUUAAAUUAAUAGUUUUCAGUUAAAAUUGAUGAAUUUGAUAAUGGAGAAAAGGGGAUUCCACUCAUUGUAUAUACCUACCUUCAUGGUAAAUCUGUUGAUUGAUACAGGAUACCUUGCAUGUGCCCGCUGUUCAAGCACAGGAGCACUUGUUCUUAUUGAACCAGUCUCAACAGUGAAUAGUGGAAGUCAGCCUCUAUCACCGCCUAAAACCGAAAGAUGUUCAAACUGUUCAGGAGCAGGAAAGGUUGUGCAUUUGAUGACAUAAUUUCAAUGCUUAUUUCUAUCCGAAUUAUAUCAUGGGAAAAAUGAAUAGAAAUGGAUGAGAAAAUAGCUGUUCUUUUUUAUCACAUCCUUCUAGUGGGGGGUCCAAUACAACCAAAGUUCAACACUGAAAUUUUUUAAAAUUUCAGUUUGUGAACUAGAGGUAAAUUUAUUUUAGUCCCUUUCUGUUUUGCAGGUCAUGUGCCCCACCUGCCUCUGUACUGGGAUGGAAAUGGCGAGCGAGCAUGACCCACGAAUAGAUCCCUUUGACUAGAGUCGCAUUGUUUCCUCCAGGCCUCUCACAUUAGUCGAAAAGCUUCUGUGCAAGGAAUUUCCAUGUGACCAGACUGAGUGAUUUCUGUAUAUAUCCAAACAACUCAUAGGUACAUGGAACACCGCUAGGGUUAAUAAACUGUACCUGUUGUAUUGUAUCACCUUAUUUAUUAUGCACUUGGCUCCCACCAUCUUAAUCGCUGGUAACAACAUCCAUUCAAUGAGAUGAUACUAGAGAAGGAAGAAGAGCUUUUACACCUUGCUUUACCAUAUCUAAGUUGAUUUUUGAAAUUGUAAUUCCCAUUGCAAUAAGUUUCAGAGUAUUUUGAUUAAUUUGUGCCUUUUUACAUGAGUUCUUCCUCUGUUUUCCUUGGUUAACUUGGAGAGUAAUGUAACAGGUUCAACUCUGCAUUCUCAACCAGGGCUUUGACUAAAAUUAUCUUGAGAAAGUUGAAAUUUCCUAUUCAUCCAAACAGGAAAGGACUUUCAUGAUUCAAAAAUUCGGAAUCUUGAAUUAAGAAUCCUCAAAGAGCAGGGUUGUGCUUGGCAUCAAGAUCACAGGACAAAAAGAAGGGUAUAGAUUAUUUGUCAAGGUUAUAGUGAUGGGGUUUGUCAUUGGAGCAUGGAAACCCUACAGGAAGUUGGAAUUGGGAAAAUAGUAUUAGAGAACAUGGGUAUGGACAACUGGGUUCUAUAUCCAUGUUUUUGCUGAAUUGGAAACCCAAGGACCACUACUAAUCCUCUAACUCCCAAGCCAAACACACCCUGCAUGAUCAGGCUACUCAUAACUGUAAACCCGAAUCUACUCCAUUCUAAACAAAGACUUUUUUUUAUUGGAAACGACAUAGAGAUAUAUUGAUAGAAAAAAGUACAAUAAGAAGGAUAAGGAAUCCUCCCGCCAAAGAAAACUAAACUACAAUAAAUUACACUGUAAAACAAGCGAACUCUCUAUAAUGGACCAUUCUUUAUGGAGUACACACCGCUAACUAAUCAAGUUGUAACACAUUAAGGGGAGACCCCUUAAAAACCUUGAAACAGAAAGCCCAAAGAAAAGCAAGGAAAACAAUAGAGUCCCAAAGAUACUCUGAAUUCCUUGCUUUAUCUUAAAAAAUCCUUGCUUUAUUCUAAACAAAGACUUAAAGACCUAAGUUUGAUUUGGGUGAAACAAGACUUACUAAAAGAUGAAGAAUAAUAUCACAAAAAGAUUAUUCUGUCAAUAUGGAUUUAAAUAUUGAAUCUCUCAUUCAUACAAGUGUCAUACACAAGAUUCCCAAAAUUUUAGUGUCUUCCUACUGAUUUCUGCAAAUUCGUCUCUGCUAUUCACAAACUAUUCUACAAAAGUUAGUAUCGCUAUAUUUUAUUUACUGUCAACAACAUAACAUUUGAUAGAAUCAUUUAAAUAUAGGUGAACGUUUCCAUCAUCCAGCCCUCAAACUUGGAUCUCUCCCAUCAUAAUGAUUUGUAUUGCUCAAUCAAAUGAGAAGCAUGGAGCCGUGAUGUAGGGACCACUGUGCAUCCCAGAUUUUGAAGAUAUGAGAUCUGCCAUUGAACAAGAGUAGCAUAUGAACAAUAAGGUUAGCAACCACCCAGAAGACAAUGCUGUUAAAUGGAUUAAGACAACCAAUAUAAGGAUACAACCUCAGCAAACUUGUAGGACAAGAAACUGAUAAGUUUAACAUGUCCUAGAGAAGGAUGAUAUGAAAUUUGAAGCAUGACUUUGCUACUUUCAGCUGUGAUGCUAUUUUUUUUUUUUUUUUAAUUUUUUGUUCCUGGGAGGGGAAGGGCCUAUACUUAAUUUAUUGUUGAGUUACAAAUUUUCUUAAACUCAAAACCUCCAAUUAACCUGGGCUCUAAUACCAGUGUUGAACUAGCAACUUUCCUAAAAGCUUAAGAUGUUAGGAUCUAGGCUUUAAUACCAUUGUUGAACUACCGACUUUCUUAAAAGUUUAUGAUGUCAGGAUUUGUGCUCACAAUGUAUAUCAUAAUUUGUUUGUUCAGACCCACCAUUACCACAACAUGACUUGAAGUUGAGGUUUUACCAAGUACCACCAGCUUUGGGGAAGAUGGAGGGAUCCUGCUAGCAGACAAACAAAAGGGUGUGGGGGGCUCUGGUGGGAGCAUCAGUAAUAGGCUGCAGUUAUGAGCAAAUCCAAAUGAAAGUGGGGGUUGCCAUAAGAAAUGGAAGUGGGAAUUGCCAUCUUAUACUAUAUCAAAACCAUGAAAUGGAGAAACAAUUUGGACUUGAAAAAGAAAAAAGAAACUCAAUUAGAAGUUUUGGCAGAAUUGAGGAAUCUGAGGUGUUGAAGAUGUGAUGAGCAAAACCAAAUUAGAAAAUUUAGGAAAAUAAAUAGAGAAACAUGUGACAAAUAUUCAGAAUGAUUUAAGAAUCACCAAGAUUUUUUUUAUUACUUCAAAAAAAGAAAAAAGAAAAAAAUGAACCACUAAUUACAAUACAGGAAAUGUGUUUCCAUGGCUUCAAAGGAUCACACUUGCAUGUUCCCAGGAAGUAUCAACUACUAACGUAUCCUGGGCAUCCCACUCAGAAGAGAACCAUUAUACCAACCUUUUUAAAAUUUUUCCCACUAAGUUCUUUAUCCUUCCAAGUUAUUUCCCUAUUUCAUGUUUCCAAUUUGUGUUAGAUUGUGUGGGUUUCCUGGUUCCAUUCGCACCAUUUGCCACUUUUUUAGAUAGCAUUUCAGGGUAUCAGUUUGUUCCUCUAGCAUAUCCCAAAUAAUUGCAAAUCAUCCAUCUUUUAUAAUCAGAAGUCUGAUCUGCAACUUUUUCAAGGGAAAAAAAUAUUUUCUUGGUUUCUCUCUUAAUAGUAUAUAGAAUACCAUACCCAUGUUAAAUAAAAAUGCUUUAAUUGCAUAUACAAAUAAUCUAAGUGCAUAUAGGAUAUCCUUCACACAACUACACACCAUGCAUCUUGAACAAUUAGACCAAAUCAUGCUCCAUCUGUUCUUAUCAUCAUAAAGAGAUUAAAAUAAGAGAAUGAUUAUACCUGCUUGGAUGUAGGGGCAGAUGAUCCCAUUGCAUUCUCAAUUCUCAGCUUCAGGAAAUGUUCCUUAAAGGAAAAACACAAUUACUUAAGAAUAUAAACAAUGACAGACAGGCAAAAAAGGUAAUUACUUUGUAGAGAUCCUACAAUCAAUGCUUUAAAAUGGUUGUACAUAUUGCAAUUAUGUGUGUGCUAAGGUUCUGUAACUGAUAGAACUAGUCAGUGCUAGCCAUUUGAUCUGGUAGGGCUGCCAACCUGUUUUCUUUCCAGUCUGAACUGAUCAUCAGCCUUUUUCUUUAUAAAAUCACUUUAAACCUAUCAAAUAGUCAUCACAAGAAUGAAUAUUUUCUCUGCAGAAAAUCUCUCCAAUCUCUAUCAUUAUUGCGUCUAUUAAUGUGUAAUCACUAUCCUCAAACUGCUGUUAUUUCAGAGGUUCCACCCUGAGAAAUGAGAAGCAAAUUCAUAAAUUUCCCAUUUUAAUAGGAAGAGCAGGACUCAUAUAUUCUAAAUGGCUUGUGUUGCAAUUAUACUUCCCUUUGGAUGGUUGGAGCACUUACCAGAGAAAUGGACACAAUGGGGAAAUGAUUUAGCUAUUUGGAACUUAACUAUAUUUAAAUAUUAACUCACUUGAUAUGAUACCUAAUUUGCUACAGAGUUGUUACAUAGAUUUCUCUUUUAAGAGGACUAAGAUUAAUGUUUUUACUCCACAUGAAUAGAUGUCUAUUUUAUUUAUUUAUUUAUUUAUGUUUAAUAGAGAGAUACAAUCAUCUUUUCGUGAUUAUUACUGCUAGAUUAGUUACUUGAAUAUUGUCCUUAUGUUUGCACCUAUUUCUAGAUAUAGAAACCCUGUAAGCACUAUUUUAAAAUUGAAUUUUAGUCAAAUCCAAACUUUGGUCAAUGAUUACUACCAAAAAGUGCUAUUUUGUAGACCUAAUAAUAAUGGUUUUAAGCACCUUUGAGUAGUAAUCAUAUUCAUUUAACCCAAUUAAUUCAUUAAGGUCCUUAGUAAUUGGUUUUAACCAUUUUUGUGGCAAGUUUACAUGUUUUUAUCAGCUUAUGAACCAAUUCAAGCAUGCCAAUUGAUGGAGGAGCUAUUUGGGCGAGUUAAGCAAGGAUUUUGGAUGAUUACAGGCUUGAAUUUCAAGUGGAAACACGAGCACAAGCAAUGGAGAAGAGGAAAACAGAGUGAAGAAAACAGCUGCAGUCUUCUUUCACACUUUUGGAGCACUUUCCGAAGUCCAUUUUCUACAUGCUAUAUACCAUUUGAAAGCUUAGGAAGUCAAGAAUCCAACGCUUCAAACCGUGUAUGAUUUGGAGCUGAAAUGAGGAAGAUAUGGCCUUCGGAAGGCAACUGCAUCAUGCCAAAUGACCAAUUUCGCAAGGUGAAUUUCACAUUGCGAAAAUUUCGCAAGGUGAAUUAACUCAUGAUGCGAAAAUAUGGCACUUCGCAUCAUGAGUAAUUCACAUUGCGAAAUUCCUUUGAAUCCUCUGUUUCUCCACGCACGCACCACCGACUUCCCAAAUAUUUUUAGCUUGAUAUUUUCUCAUGUAAAUUCCUUUUGUAACCUUGUAUUCAGCCGACAUAAAGCUUUAUCUUGUAAUUUUGCUAUAUAUAGAGGUGCACAACACCUCCAACAAAGGAGGGGAUGUUUUGGGGAUCGAUCCUCUGUACAUUAACUUAGAGAUAUAUAAAGCUUUGUUUUUCUCUCUUCUCCUGUUCUUCUCCAUUUCUAUUUUCUUAGUAGCCAAACAGCCUCUGAGGGCUUUUCCUCAGAGGAUGAUUGGCUAAAACUUUUAGUUUCUCAAAGUAUGGAUGUUAUGUGAUGGCUUGGAUGCAAUCCCAUGGAAAUUUCUCGCACCUGGAAGGUAAGGUAGUCGUUUUUCAUUAAUGGUUCAUUAAUGCAAAGUUUGGUUUUUAUUUCCUUUGGACAACUUCCAACGGCCAAUACUUGAUAAGCUUUUGGAUUUCUAUCCAUUAGUUAUCUCCUACGAGCUAUUGGAAAGUGAGGUUUUCAAUUCCAAGUUUUGCAUUAAUCCGUUAGAACCAAUUUCAAUGGCCAUUGAAAGGUGAGUUUAUCACCUGGAAUGACUUUGAGUUGCCAAUAUUUGGUAAGCUUUUGGCUUUAGACCAUUAGUUAUCUCUUACGAGCCAUUCAAAGGAAGUCUAAGGUGAAUAACCAUUGAUGAAAUUCACUACCAUCUGUUUUGCCAUUUUAAAGGAUUAAAACUUGAUUUGCUAAAUCCAUACCGGUUCGGGAAGCAAGCAUCACCAUAGUUGCAACCCCAACGCGAGGAGCCUAUCCUUAGAUUUCCAAUUUGCAUAAGAGCCAGAGCAUAGCUAUCCUAUCUUUGAGAAACUUGUUUUUACACCCUUUUAUUUUAGUCUUUAAUGUUAGCUUAGAUUAGUUUAAAUCUUUUUAAAACAUUUUCAUCUUCUUUUAAAGCUAACAUCCAUAAGAAAAUCACCUAUUUUCCUAAUUUGAAUAUCACUUGUGUUUGCGAAAACCCUUCCCAGUGAACGAUCCUAGAACCACUAUGCUAUAGUAGCUUGGCUACUUUAGUAAUAGUAUUUAAGGUAUAAAUUUUGUUGAUACGCCUUUAAAGCUAAGCUACCAUGAGUCGCAUCAGUCAACUCAAACUUUCAGUAGAAAUUCUAGUACAGUUGGCUGCUUUUUAACGUUAUAUGUUCAUAUCAUACACAAUAUAUAUAUAUAUAUAUAUAUAUAUAUAUAUAUAUUUCAAUUACAGUUUCUUUUUAAUGCUCAACAUGGCUAGAUUCAAGAGAAUCUACUUUCAAGAUUGUUAGAUUUUGUAUUCUAAGUGAAAGAAUGUUUUUAGGACUUGGCAGAUCAAGUCUUUAGAUUUAGUUCAAUUCCAGAUAUCAAGUCCAUGAAUUCAGGGUAGGAUAGGGGUUUUUGUUCUGGGGCAUGACACCAACACAACUUGAUUUCCACUUCCCUAGAAUCCCUGGACUGAAUCCUAUGUGAUCAUAUAAAUCAGAAACACUUCCUAGCAGGGAUGAACUACAUAAUUGAACAUCUUUGUUAGACUCAUGCUAAAGGUAUCUGGCAUCCAAACGAGGUGAGUUAGAGAAGUUGCUAAGUUCACUGCCCCUAUAGUCUCUGUAAUUACCUGCAAUGCCCAACUAACCAAUAUUGCCUAACAAACAGUCAUCAACAUGAAGCUUAAGAUCUCUUAUAGGCAGGGGCACCUGCCUAGUUUUAAAUGACAUAAGAAGAUUCAGACCUACAAUAACCAUAAGCCUCCCUCCAAUCCGGCAAAUUGUACUGAUGAGCAUGCAUUAAACAAAUUUCAAAACUGAAGUGGACAAAUUUUAAAAUCCAUGCCAAUGUCAUUUUAGAGCAAAUGAUAAUUAUCUGCUCUUAGGAUUCCCGGGAUCCAAGAAGGCCUUGGAGAUACAAUUCUUAGAAUGCUCUUCUAUUGGAAGCCUAGAUUGACUAACCAGAGAGCAUAUCAAUUGGCAAUAUCUUUUGUUUAUUAUUUCUCUUUUCACUUGAAGGAUAUGCUAUAUUCUCUUUUCAUCCUAUAUCCUCUAUUCUGUGAGAGUUGUUCUCACAGGAGCUAACCCUGUUUUGACACCUUUCUGCAGAUACAACACUAAUCAAGAUUCAAAAGGUACUCCUAGAAUUUAACUUCCAGCUUACCUAAACUUAUUUUCUGUGAAGCUUAUAAACAAAAUUUGGGGGUUGUGCCAAGAUUUUCAACUUUGAAUUAGAUGGAGUGGUAGAAAGACAAUAACAUUUACAAAAUUUAACUCCAAUCGACUCUGCAUAUGUCUUGUUUUACAGUGGGUUCCAAGUUUAACUAAAGAAUGUAUGAAAUCUUGUCAAACUUGUCCAAAAAAGAAAGCAAACAACUAUUUAGCUAAAGCAAAGCAAGAGAAAAAACAUUCACACAUGGAUUUAAGUGAUUCCCUCAAAAUUGCCGCAUGUCGACAGAUUACAUUGUUCCUAUAAAUAAGGUAGAAAGAAAACAAAUUACUACAAUAGCAAGUUCUCUGGCAGGCAGCCAUCCAUAAAUACCCUCCAAAUAAUUAGAAAUACAUAUAAAACCAAAGGGUAAUACCCAAAAAUACUCAUCCAAGUAAGUCUCUCACAACAUAACCAGCAUCAUGAAGCUUCACAUGGCAUAACAAACUUCAAACUGGAACUUAGAGUGAAUCUUCUCAUAUCUAGAGCUUAAAAAGAGUAGGAAGAUGAACUAGUUCUCCCCUAUAACCACCUUGGUCGACAUAAAUGUAGAGUUUUGACUUUUAUAAAUCCUUUCUAUAGUACAUGUUCCAUCCUGCAGAACUUAAUGUAUAAAAUAGUUCUUGACAUCUACACGCACAGUUCUCUAAUGAAAGAUGAGUUCUUUCCAAGAUGGGUUGCACUCUUAAUACCAUUUUUAUAGUUUACAAUUUUCUAGUUGCUUACCCAUCUUUCUCAUGAGAUCUUAUAACCAUAACAAUCAUAUCAUGUCUGGGAAAAUAGUUACCAUCUACACAGACACCAGAGAACAUAAUAAAACUAUAUAAAUAGGAAUUCUGGAAUACUAAUUUUACAUAUAAACAGUUAAAAUGAGUAAAUCAUCUAAUUCAGAAAAGAAAAACAACGCAAAGCAAAGUGUAGGGCUUUAAAAGUGGGGCAUCAUACUUGUUUCAUCCUCAUCAAAUGAGCACGUUUAUCAGCAGGAAUUUUCUCCCAUUUUAAAAUCUACAGAAAAAGAAAAGAAAUUCUGUUAGUGAAUAGAAGCUGGUAUGUGUGUGCAUUUGUCUAUUAUCAAAAAAAGAUGACAUUAUAUAUUAAUAUCUUAAUAUAUUGACAGUCAUGCAUUAUGACUAAGGUUAUUGAAAUUUCAUCCAUUACUUGCACUGUGUGUUAUGUUGCAAUGAUAUUUUCAAGAAGUGCCAAUGAGCUUACAUAUUCCGCAUAGUGAAAUGCUUCAUCACACUUCAAGGAGGACUUUAGCUCACGCAAAGCAUCCUACAAAUUAUGUAAUAAUCAUGUCAAAAAUACAACAUUAGUAGAUCCACAAACAUGCCAACAUCAAUGUUCUGAAAGGCUAAAGGCAGUUUUGAGGCAUUUUGCUCAAAUGAAGGGUGGCAUAAACCUUGAGGUGGGACAAGGCAUAAGUCUCAACUUAAAAUAAUAAUAAUCAUAACAACAAUAACAACAACAAUAAAGAAAAAUAGAAAAAAAAAAAAUCAUAAAAAUACAAUAAAAUCACAUGAAAAUUGAAUAAAAAGAAAACCAUAUAAUUUGUAAUAACUAAAACAAUUAUUUGUCAAUGUUAAUAGUUUCUAAUUUAGAAACUCUUUUCUCUCUUCUAAAAUCCAACUCUCUUAUGACUUCAUCAAAUAAUCUUCAUCACUAUCACAAGUAGGAUCAUCCUCCCCAUUAGUUUUAAAGUCCACUAGUUCUUCAUCCAUCAAUUAUAGUUAUCUUUUUUCCUUUAUCUAUCAAUAAUAUGAAAUUAAUUAUAUAUGAGUCUAGCUACUACAAUGGUCAACAAUCCCUUUAUUUCUUCUUCUCAAUCUUUUUUUACCACUCUACAUUUAAAUGGUUAAUUGGUAGUCAAACUAAGUCCUUACUAACCCUAAAUGUGCUAAACUCAUUAAAACUCUUUAAAGUAUUCGAAGCAAGCAUCAAGAACCUUGAGUCUAUAACUUCAAGGCUAUAAGCCUCAAUUAUCCUAUAUUGAGGCUAUAGCCUUAAAGCUAGUUUGCACAGAAAAAGGUGUUGACCCUAUUAUUGUUUAGGCCUAGAAAAAGGUUAUUUUUGGGUCUUUUGAGCAUUGGGGGCACGAGAGUUAGCUGGGGAUUGAAUGGUUUUCUAGGUUGUUAGGGUGGGUUUGUCCCUUACUUUUCUCUUUCUUUUUUUGCAAGCCUUUAGACACUUCUUCUAUACUUUGUGUGUACCUUUUCCUAGCACUUUUAAUAUGUUCUCAAUUUUACCUAUCCAAAAUAAAAUAAAAAUUCAUUUUUCUUCGACUUUACAAAGGAAGCAUUUAUUAACCAACAUCAACCUCCUUUUUAAAACUAAUUAAGAGUCAAUAGCUUUCCCCUACAAGCUUCCCACACAUAGAAGCUCACAUUAGAUGGAACCCAUGGAUUCCAAAUUACCCCCAUCGGAAAAGUGAUAAAAAUCCCUAACUCUAAGAUAGCAUACAAAGAUUUCAUGGAGAAGAAAUCACUCCAUCCACAUUGCCUAGUCCUCCUCUCUAGUCACCACCUUACCUUGCAAACAUUGCCAAUGCGAUGAGUACAGUAAAUCAAUUUCUGCAUGCACCUUGAUCCUCUCAUCUAGAGGGAAUCUUCAAGACCCAACACUUGAAGUCUUCUUUAGGGAAGCUUUUAUGUUAGCUAUAUAUAUAGUGACAUCUAAAAAAAUAAAGAAAGGUCACGCAACCUUCAACCUCAAACCUCACUUGUUCCACUCUUGCAUUGCUAUUCUCUAAUUUUCAAGUGCCAAAAUAACAUGUUUAAACAACAUCCAUCUUAUACUUGAGAAAGCAAAGAGAAUAGGCAUGUGGGCAUAUUUUGUCGCCUGUUUGCAUAAGGAGGAAUAUAAAUAGAAACUUCUAUAAGCUAAAAGCUAAAACAUAAUCACAGGCUAUAAUUGCAUUAGACAAAUGCAACCUAAUAGCAAAGGGGAAGAGAUGAAAUUUGUUAUGAAGAAUGAAUGAGUUGUAGAACCUUGUGUUUGUUUUUCGUGACCCUCAAACGUUCAUCAAUUGCAAAGCCAACCUGUAAAUACAACAGGAUGAAGACAUAAAACUUAUGAAAGAAUGUCAAAACAUAUGAAAGAAUAUUCCCCAUGAAUACCUACAAGGAUAAACUUACACAUAAUUAACAAACAUAAAUUAAGCAUACAGCAUCAAUCGUCACAUUAUUUACAUAUGGGAUCACUAGUAAUUAUCAUGAAGUAUCGAGACUAGAUGUUUGAAAUUAUAUUAACGUACUUGUACAAAAAAGCAUUAAGUUAAAAUUGGUUUACGCAAAUUUGAUGGUGUAGUCAUCAUGUGGAAGCCACAAGAACACAUGUGCUGCUCCAUACCAUGGCACGCCCAGUGUUGUCAAAAGCAAAAGGCGAUAAGACUCCUUUUAGCCUAAGGCGAAAGGUGAAAGACAAGGCGAGAGCCUAACUAUAGUAGGGUGAUAAAAAAUAUACAUAUAUUUACCUAUUCGAUAUUCAACCAAUAUAAGUAUUGUUUUCAAUAAUCAACACAAUUAAUUUUUCAUCACUCACGAUGUCUUAUAAAAUUAACAAAAUAGUAAUAAUUAUUGAAGUGUUAAAUAUUAUACCCCAUAUUAUAAAAAACAUCAUAUUGUUUAAAGAUAUUCAUCCUAUCUAAAUGUAUAUUCUAAUUUUUCAAACAUCUAAAAAACAAAAUAAGAGAUUGAACAUUCUAGAGGAGCUUUAGGCAUCAUCAUCAUAGUCAUUAUUGAAAUUAAAAUUGUCAUUACUUCCAUCAAGACUAGAUUGAUAACGCUCCAUCUUAUUAUCUCUAUGAUUGAUAAUACAAUAUUUUAUCUUAUACUUUGUUUAAUCCAAUGUUAGAUUGAAUGAAAUUAUAAUCUAAGUAUGUUUAAUCUUAAUUCAUGGUCAAAGGCGGCCUCUAUACCUUGUGCCUUAUCCCAAGGCGAUUGCCUAGGCGUUGCCUCUUUGAUGUUGCCUUGCCUAGGUCUUCAAAAGGCGACUUUUAUCUACCCUGCUUGGCUUGAUGGCCUAAAUGACCCAGGCAAUCACCUUUGAUAACACUGGGCACACCAAUUGAGGAACUUCAAGGAGAUUGUGGUUUGGUGGGUAAGACGAACAAUUGGGGUCAAUGGCCUAUGGAAGACACAUCAAGAGCACCUUAACUUGUAUAAUGAGGUCAUUAUAAAUACACUGCUAUAGUCAACUCCCUCAGCACUAGUCCCCAGCCGUGCUCCACUCCCUCAUUGUCAAUAUUAAAUUGGCAUUGGCCCUAGUCCAAAGGAAUGGAACACAUUUUCUAAUAGAAAAAUCAUGCAAAAAACAUGUGUUUUCAUCCAUUUGGUGGCCUCAUUCAAAUGCCUGUGUUGGCUUGCCCAGACAUGUGGCCUUCUCUACAUAUUCCCAUAUCUUCAUGAGAAAAUGGUCCCUCUUUCCAUCAUCUUCACAUCAUCAUGAAAUUGGAGUGCGUCCUCCUUUGUCCUGUAUGAACCAUACUUUUUCCUGUCCCUUUCGCUAUGACAUGUGAAUACUUAGUGUGAACACAAAUUGGAAAAGCAUGCAGACAAACAGAACAACUUUGUUGAAUAUAAUGUAUUUAUAGUGUAUAAUCUUUCCUUGUUAAUAUAGGUCACAUGUAUGGUAGUUAGGACUCCUAGCCUUGUAUAUAUAUAUAUUUCUCAAUUGUAAGUAGAUAUCAUAUGAAUGAGAAUUAAGGUCUUUCUUCUUUCUCUCUCUCUCAACAUGGUAUCAGAGCCAAGGGAGAAAACCUAAUUCUUUCCAGUUUCCCGUGUCAUCAACUCUUGGAAACCUUCCGGUGACCGUGUUUCAUUCCGGUCACCUUCCCCAUCUCCCAAUACUUUCCGGUCAGUCGGAUCGUCGUCAGAAAACACUCACCGUCGGCAAACUUUUCCGGCGACGUCUUUUUCCGACACCGACCAUACCAGAAGGAGCGCCUAGAGGAGAUCUCCAACUUUUGUGAAGGCACCGGAACCAAAAGAUCAUCCACGCGUCGGCCACGCGCAAUUUUCCGUCUGGCGACUGCAUCUCACGCGCCGGAGCAUGAGGGCGCGUGAGGACUUUCCCGGCCACGCGCCUCCUCCUCCAGCCUCGCCUAACGCCGACUAGCCUUCCUUCAUCCCUAGUUCUGCCAUCCGAGCCCUGCACGUACCUCUUUUGGGGUUUUUUUUGCCUCCCUCGACCCUCCAAACAGUUUUUUCGGCGAGCUUCGGCUACUUUUUCUCUAUCCUAAUCCCUACAUGUGCCUAAGGAAGUGUUCUUCUACCUUUCCGGUGGUGUCACGCCGCGAUCUGAAGCCGUCUCCUUUUCCAGUGGUGCCACGCCGCGAUCUACAACCGUAUUAGGGCUCUCUUCGAUCCAAAUAUACUUCAUUCUCCAGAUAAGUAGAUAUGGCUACUAAAACUUCCAUUUUUUCCUCUAUUAUAUCUGGAUCUCCUAUGAUUACUUCGGAGAAAUUGGUUGGCAGUGACAAUUAUCUUUCCUGGUCUGUCUCUGUUGAACUUUGGUUUAUGGGUCAAGGAUAUGAGGAUCACUUGAUUACACAGGAGGCAAAUAUCCCUGAGGUUGACCGCGUACAGUGGAGGAAGAUAGAUACACAGUUAUGUAGUGUAUUAUGGCAAUCGGUUGAUCCAAAGAUUCUUCAUCAUCUUCGGGCCUUCAAAACUUGUUUUAAAUUUUGGACUCAGGCCAAAGGAUUAUAUACGAAUGAUAUCCAACGUCUUUAUAAGGUGGCUUCUGCUAUUGUCCAUAUCAGCCAACAGGACUUGGAUCUAUCUACUUAUAUUGGCCAGAUUGUCUUUCUUAAGGAGGAGUUCUUGACUGUGAUGCCUCUUACUCCUGAUGUUGGGGCUCAACAAACACAGCUUGACAAGUUCUUCAUGGUCUUUACUCUUAUUAGCCUCCGUCCGGAUCUUGAGCCUAUCCGUGAUCAGAUUCUUGGUAGUUCAUCAGUUCCGUCCUUGGAUGAUGUGUUUGCUCGCCUCCUCCAUAUCUCCUCCACUCAGACUUUGCCAUUUGAUAGCACUUCAGAUUCUUCUGUGUUAGUUUCUCAAACUAGCUCUCGAGGAGGCCACAGUGGUACCCGAAGUAGAGGUCAACGUCCUCAUUGCACCUAUUGCAAUAAACUUGGCCACACUCGUGAUCGUUGCUAUCAGUUACAUGGACGACCUCCUCGCACUGCCCAUGUGGCCCAAUCCUCUGAUUCUCCGCUGCCUCAGCCUCCGAGCUCUUCCGCAUCUCAGGCUUAUGUUGCCUCUGUUGCCCAGCCUGGUAAUGCCUCUGCCUGCCUUACCCACACAUCUUCUCUUGGACCCUGGAUUCUAGAUUCUGGAGCUUCUGAUCACUUAUCUAGUAAUAAGGAUUUUUUCUCCUCUAUUACUACUUCCUCUGCUUUAUCUACUGUUACUUUAGCUAAUGGUUCUCAAACUGUGGCUAAAGGUAUUGGUUUGGCCCUUCCUCUGCCUUCUCUACCUCUCACUUCUGUCCUUUAUACUCCUGAAUGUCCUUUUAAUCUUAUUUCCAUUAGCAAAAUCACUCGUACUCUUAAUUGCUCUAUUACCUUUUCUGAUAAAUUUGUGACCUUGCAGGAUCGGAGUACGGGGAAGACGAUUGGCAUAGGACGUGAGUCUCAAGGCCUCUAUCAUCUCACCUCGGAUUCAUCUCAUGCAGUUUGCAUUUCCACUGAUGCUCCUUUCCUCAUUCACAAUCGUCUGGGCCACCUUAGUCUCUCCAAGUUCCAGAAGAUGGUCCCUCGUUUUUCCACUUUGUCGUCACUUCCGUGUGAAUCAUGUCAGCUUGGGAAACAUACUCGUGUCUCGUUCCCAAAGCGUUUGAAUAAUCGGGCAAAGUCUCUUUUUGAGCUUGUCCACACUGAUGUUUGGGGUCCUUGUCGGACUGCGUCUACUUUAGGAUUUUAGUAUUUUGUCACUUUCAUUGAUGACUAUUCUCGAUGUACUUGGUUAUUUUUAAUGAAAAAUCGAGCUGAGUUAUUCUCUAUUUUCCAGAAAUUUUAUGCUGAAAUCCAAACCCAGUUCAAUAUUUCUAUUCGUGUGUUACGCAGUGACAAUGCCAAGGAAUAUUUUUCAGCCCCAUUUACUUCGUUUAUGUCUCAUCAUGGGAUUCUUCAUCAGUCUUCUUGUGCUCAUGCUCCUCAACAAAAUGGGGUAGUUGAACGCAAGAAUCGACAUCUUGUUGAGACAGCUCGUACUAUCCUCCUCCAUAGUAAUGUUCCUUUUCGUUUUUGGGGGGACACUGUUCUUACCGCUUGUUAUUUGAUUAAUCGUAUGCCCUCCUCUGUCUUACACGAUCAGAUUCCUCACUCCCUUCUUUUCCCUGACCAACCACUUUAUUUCCUUCCUCCUCGUGUCUUUGGUUGUACUUGCUUUGUUCAUAUUCUCACUCCUGGACAGGACAAGCUUUCCGCCAAAGCCAUGAAGUGCCUCUUCUUAGGAUACUUCAGACUUCAGAAGGGUUAUCGUUGUUAUUCCCUUGAGACUCAUCGAUACUUUAUCUCCUCUGAUGUCACCUUCUUUGAGGACUCACCAUUCUUUUCCACCACUUCUGAGUCUCUUCCUGUUUCUGAAGUCUUGUCUAUUCCCAUUGUUUCCCCACUUGAUGCUAUGCCUCCUCGACCACUUCAGGUUUAUCAUCGUCGCCCUCGUGUCGUUGCUCCUCUCCCUUUUGCUGAGGCACCUGCUGACUCACUUCCUAUCCCUUCGGCUUCACCUGCCACGGCUCUGCCUUCUCCUAAUGACUUACCCAUUGCUGUUCGGAAAGGUACUCGCUCUACUCGUAAUCCUCAUCCUAUUUACAAUUUUUUGAGUUAUCAUCGAUUAUCUUCACCCUAUUCUGCUUUUGUUUCUGCUAUAUCCUCUGUUUCUCUUCCAAAGAGCACCCAUGAAGCUCUUUCCCAUCCAGGCUGGCGACAGGCAAUGGUGGAUGAAAUGGCUGCUUUGCACUCUAAUGGUACUUGGGAUCUUGUUGUUUUACCCUCUGGUAAAUCUACCGUUGGCUGUCGUUGGGUCUACACAGUUAAGGUUGGUCCUGAUGGUCAGGUUGAUCGCCUUAAGGCCCGCUUAGUUGCUAAAGGCUAUACUCAGGUUUAUGGUUCUGAUUAUGGUGACACAUUCUCUCCUGUUGCCAAGAUUGCUUCUGUCCGUCUGCUUCUCUCCAUGGCUGCUAUGUGUUCUUGGCCUCUUUAUCAGUUGGAUAUUAAAAAUGCAUUCCUUCAUGGUGAUCUUGCCAAGGAAAUUUAUAUGGAGCAACCUCCUGGUUUUGUUGCUCAGGGGGAGUCUAGUUUAGUGUGUAGGUUACGCCGUUCUCUAUAUGGCUUGAAACAAUCUCCUCGAGCAUGGUUUGACCGUUUUAGUUCUGUUAUUCAAGAGUUUGGCAUGCUUCGCAGUACAGCAGACCAUUCAGUUUUCUAUCAUCAUAACUCUUUGGGGUAGUGUAUUUAUCUGGUUGUUUAUGUGGACGACAUCGUCAUUACAGGCAGUGAUCAGGAUGGUAUUCAGAAACUAAAGCAACAUCUUUUUACCCACUUUCAGACCAAAGACUUGGGGAAACUCAAGUAUUUCUUGGGAAUUGAGAUAGCUCAAUCCAGUUCUGGUGUGGUCCUUUCCCAAAGGAAGUAUGCUUUAGACAUCCUGGAAAAAACCGGUAUGUUAGACUGUAAACCGGUAGACACACCUAUGGAUCCGAAUGUCAAACUUGUACCAGGACAAGGGGAGCCUUUAGGAGACCCCGGGAGAUAUCGACAGCUCGUAGGUACAUUGAACUAUCUCACAAUUACUCGUCCAGACAUUUCUUUUCCUGUGAGUGUUGUUAGUCAAUUCCUACAGUCACCAUGUGAUAGCCAUUGGGAUGCCGUAAUCCGCAUUCUUCGAUAUAUCAAAAGUACACCAGGCCAAGGUGUGUUGUACGAGAACAAAGGUCAUACUCAGGUUGUUGGUUACACAGAUGCAGAUUGGGCUGGCUCACCCACAGAUAGACGUUCCACUUCAGGGUAUUGUGUUUUUAUUAGAGGUAAUCUAAUAUCUUGGAAGAGUAAGAAACAAGAUGUAGUGGCCAGAUCUAGCGCUGAAGCCGAGUAUCGAGCUAUGACUUUGGCAACAUGUGAACUCAUAUGGUUGAGACAUCUUCUUCGAGAGUUGAGAUUUGGAAAUGAUGAACAGAUGAAACUCAUCUGUGAUAACCAGGCCGCAUUACAUAUUGCAUCCAAUCCAGUCUUUCAUGAAAUGACCAAACAUAUUGAAGUUGACUGUCAUUUCAUUAGAGAGAAGAUCGCAUCAGGAUGUGUUGCUACAAGUUUUGUUAAUUCAAAUGAUCAACUAGCAGACAUCUUCACUAAAUCUCUCAGAGGUCCUAGGAUUAAAUAUAUUUGUAACAAGCUUGGUGCAUAUGACGUAUAUGCUCCAGCUUGAGGGGGAGUGUUGAAUAUAAUGUAUUUAUAGUGUAUAAUCUUUCCUUGUUAAUAUAGGUCACAUGUAUGGUAGUUAGGACUCCUAGCCUUGUAUAUAUAUAUAUAUAUAUUUCUCAAUUGUAAGUAGAUAUUAUAUGAAUGAGAAUUAAGGUCUUUCUUCUUUCUUUCUCUCUCAACAAACUUAAUUGGCUAUGAGUACUCACUAUGAAAACAUAAAUUUGAAAGACAUGCUGAUGAAUAGAACACUUGGAUGACCUCAUGGUUUUACAUAGCAGCUAAAGCCACUAUUUACUAGCAGAAACACAUCAAUUUGUAUGGAAUUAAUCCAGAAAUACAAAAGUAGAUGAAAAGAAAACAGAACGUCUAAGUGCAGCUUAUAUUGUUGUGCAGUUGUGUUUUAUGUAUUCCUAUCCUAUUCUUUUCUCUUUGUUUCUUCACUUUUUGUCUUCUCCAACUAUCAAACCCAAUUAGCCCCCCCCCAUUAAGAAUUCAAAGAAAGAAAGGGGUUUGGGGCUCAAAUCCAAGCCCUUGAAUGCGGGUAUGGUGGUCUUUAACUGCAUAAUUUAAAUAUCUAACUUUGCUUUAUGUCUCUCAAACCAUUUUAAUAUUUAUCUAUGCCAAAAAUUAAAUAUUCAAAUAAAAUUUUAGUAGACAUAUCAAUUUUAAUUAUCUUAUUUUCAAUUAAUUAAUUGUUGAAAGUAAAAAACCAUGAUGAUAAUUUUUUUCAUGAGUCAUUUUUACAUCCUUUGUAUAGCAAUUAAAUACAAGAGAAACAUAAACUUGUAAAAAAAUUAUGAACAUUUUUAAACAAAAAAAAUAAUAAUAAUAAUUAUAUAUAUCAUCAUUUCUUUUAUAUUAUUGAAUAAUCCGAACAAGAUAUAUCAUCAUUCUAGCAUUAAAUCUGUUCUUAGGUUUUGCAAAUUAUUGUAGAUGUCACAAGUUGUAUCAUACAUAUAUUGUUUUCUUUAAUAAAAUAACUUCAAUGUGUAUCAUUGCUUGUUAUAUCAUUUCUUGAAGUUUUCUUAACAUUUUUAUGAGUUUUGAUCAAUUUUCGUCCUAUCAAUAUUUUUUUUCCAGAUUUUUGCUUGAUAUUUCCCAAUAUUUUGACCCUUGCUUUCAACAACAUAUAUAUAAAUAUAAAAAUCAGUACACUCUAACAGGAUAGACAAUACAUAAAUUUAAAAAAAGAAAAAGAAAAAGAAAAAGAAAGAAAGAAAGAAAGAAUAUAACAGUCACCUUAUCCAGCAACCUCUUAGGCUCUUGAAAUGCUUGCUUCUUGGCCCAGUGAUGGAAUAAGUGGGAAACAACUGAUCUGUCCUCAACAUUGAAUCUAUAAAACAGUGAUUGAGGAAGCAAGCAGAAUUUCAAUACUAAACCAUUGAUAUAGAAUUACCAAAAAAGUUAAUAUUAAUUUAUUCAACCACCCAUCACAAUUUAGAGAACAACCUUCUUAAAAAACUAUUCCCAUCACAUGAGCCCAUUGGUUCUGUUGUUUCCUUUGAACACUCAUCAAUUUGAAUAUUGAGACCCUCAUUUGGUAAAAUAUAUUCCCUAGAAGAUUUCUUGUCUCCUCCUUCACCAAUAGUAAACUGGGCAUUUUCUAUUGGAGUACUUUCUUGCUUUGCAUGUAAACCCUGUACACUCAGCUCCCCCUGCAUAAAGAAGAGAUAAAACAGAAACAAUUGACUAAUAAGAGAAACAAAAGCCACACAUGACAAAUGGAGAAAAAAAAUGGUGAAAGUUUGAAUUUCAGUGUUUACUAUUCAUGUUCAUGUGAAAUACUCAAAAAAUAUGCAACAUGGAGUCAAGGACUCAAUUGAACGUAGAAUGGCCGAGCAAUUUCUUCUUUCAUACUUAAACUGGCACAUUUUUUUAUUAAAAAAAAAAACAUUUUACUACCAUGAAAUAAAUAUAUAGAAAGAAGGAUGAGUAAUCCUUACCCCAUAACGCAACCACUAUAUGACUAGUCAAAGGCUGAAAAGAAAGAAUAACUAUCCUAAUCUAGAAAUAAAAUAAAUAAAUAAACAAACAAAUAAAAAUAAAAAAUAAAAAUUGCACAGCCAACAGUGGUUGAACUGACACAUUUUAAGAAUGACCAUUAUCAAGGGAUACAAUGCCUAUGUGUUUGAACAUGAGGGAAGCUCCUAGUUGAGCUAUUUGUAGUUUUCUAAUACCAAUUAGUUUUUGCAUCAAAUGCAAGAAUAAGUUGCACUAAAUCAACAUUCUGAAUGUGAACCAUAUGAUUCUCAAAUUCAAUCAUAUCUACACAAGUAGCUGAGAAAAUUUUACUUGAAAUAUUAUGAAGUUAAUAGUCACAAGUCUCAAAAAUAUAUAUAUCAAGGUGAUGCCUAUGCUUGAAAUCCUCUCCCAAGGCAGUUGAAACUUAAAGGAAUGUAAUCAGCGCUAUUAGGAUCUAAUGUUGGUAAGAGAGAUAUACUAGCGGCACAGCACAGAGCCAAUGCGAGUGCAACAGCAAGAAAAAAACAGACAUUUUAACAUGGAAAUUAAGAAACUAAUGGUCAAUUAUUCUUCAAAUCAGAUACAUAUCCAGAAUUUUGUUUUUCUUUACUUUGUGAUAAUGCUAUCACACUUCCCAAAAAAAAGAAAGAAAUAAAGAAAUUUUUAAAUGGGUUUCAAGUUUUAAGUCCAUCAGAAGUAGUUGAACAAGAGUAUAACAUGGCUAUACAAUCUUAUAUCUGUACAUAGUAUACUAGGAUAGGCUAAAUACAAGUAUGAAAUUUGAACUACACUACAAAGAAAUGCAGAUGCUAUACUGUUCACCAAUACAUACUGCACAUGCAUUUCAACUAAUUUCAGUGGCUUAAAAGGGUGUUUCUGUGUUUUUAAAGACAUAAACAUAUUUACCAACUAAUGCUUUUUGUAAUUUUUUAUCAGAAAGUAAACCAGCCAAAAUAUGGGUGGCAUUUUUCUUUCAAGUAGUGAGAUGUGGGCAGCAAUCUGAUUUGCUAUACAGUUCCAAGGCUCUUGCUCAAUGCAAUGAAACCUUAAACUGGUCAAACUUAUCCUCAAGAUGAUUAGGGUUUCAAGUUUCCAAAAUAGUACCCACAGGGACAAUAUAAAAUUACUUUUGGCUUCUUUUUUCUGUAAACAUUUGCAGAAAGUUAGAGAUCUCACAUUUGGGAAGUAGGAAACUGGGAGUUGAAAACUGGGACUAGAAAAACAUACCAACACCGGGAAAAAUCAUAUAUUUUGUGCAUUAUUGUUAUACAUUCAAUUCUAUGGUUAUACCUUCAUGAUUUCUUAGUUUCAAUUUGUUUAUUACAAAGCUAGAGAAAUUGUAUUAAUAAAAUUUGUAAUAAGUGUGAAGAACGAUGAGUCAAACCAAAACACAAAACUGGCCUAGCAAGAGUCUUCUCCUAACCAAUGGGGCGCUCAAGAUAAGAAUUGAGGUUAACAAUCUAGCUUUGCAGGAUAGGCUUGAAUAAGGCAUGGCCAUUGAUAUUUAACAAUCUUGCGGCGGGAGGAGACCUACUAUUGUUACUUCUACAGCAUCUCAAGGAAAGAGAGGUUCCAGAAAAUUGGAUGGUUGGCAAUGCAAACUUACUGAUAUUUUGAGGGGUUGGGUUGCACUUAUUUGCUCAAGUCCCUGGAUUGUCCAACCAAGUUCUGGUAUCGGUUGGCCAAACCAGGAGCCUCAACACUUAAGGCUUUUGUUGGAGACUUCAUGCCUCUUCGAGAUCUGUUACUUUAAGAUCUUCUCGUCUUCUGACCGUUGCUUUAUUUGUUGUUUUUUCUGUUAUUUGUACUCUCCUGGUAACUUCUGAUUUGAAGCAUGGCUGAUUCUUCUAAUUCUUGUUCAACCACAAAAAUAAAUAAACAAAUAAACUAAAACAUAAAAACAUAAAAGUAAAAAGAAACCAGAUUAGGCACCAAAAAGACACCCACUAGAAACUCAAAAUAAAACCCCUAGCCCUAAUAGUUGCAUUUUGUACUAGCCACCCACUAAUCAUCAAUCAUUUCUCUACUCCGCAAAGACAAAAUGCAACUAUUAGGACUAUGGGCUUUGUAAGGUGUUCUCAACUAUAACACAUCAUUGGUAUUUACCUUUUUUAUGUACCAUUAGCUAAGCAAAGGCCUUAACCUUGGAUGAGACUUUUGACUUCCAUAGAAAUUUGAUUAGAGAAAAGAGACAUAAGUUGAUAGAUUGGACAAGGCCAUAAAGAAGGAUUUUAUUCAGAACAAACUUGAGGGGAAAAAGACCAAGCUUUCGCAUUUGGGAUGGCUAAAGACAAAUGCACGUUGACGGAAGACAUAAGUCUUUCAAGGUCCUCAAUCUCCAAAUCAUAGAGGUUAUGACAAAAAAAAAAAAGGCUCUAAGAAGAAGAGGAAGAGCUACCAAGAAUAGCUAAGAUGGAAAGGUUCUUCUUCGCAACUACUUUGAAAAGUCUUCGAAAUUGAGAGCAUAAAGGUUGAUACCCCCACCACAAAUCUUCCCAAAAUGAAUUGUCAACCCCAACCCCCCCACCAAACCCACCACAAAGUGAGUGUGUAUAAAAAAAUUUGUGCCAAAUCCUUCCAAGGGAACCAAUGUGACCAUCUAACUAAAAUAUAGGUUUCCCAACCAUUAGGAUGUGCCCUAUAAAUGCUCAAAAUAACCUAAUACCAAAGGACCAAACUUUCCCUCGGGAAGCUCCAAAGCCACUUCCCUAAGAGAGCACGAUUCCUCAGAGAAACCCUCCAAAUCCUUAAGCUCACAUACUAGGUCCCAAUUGAUAAGAUGACCUCUUUUACCUUCCCUAAGCCUUGACCACAAGAAAUCUCUUUGCAACUUCUCAAUUCUUGAAGAGGGAUGUUAGAAUAUUGACAAGGGAUAUAUAUAUAUAAAAUAAAAAUAAAAAAAUGCUACGAAUAUGAGAUAAGCAGGAAAGAAUUAGUGUAAUUCUUUAAUUAAAGACAAGAAUGUUGUCUUCCACCCAUUCAAUCUACUCGAAAUUUUGUCAAUCACUCAUAGAUUCAACAAUUUAUAAAGAUGCUCUAAAGUUGUUUGCUAAAAAGAAUUGCCUUAAGCCUUGAAAUCUGCAUUUUUGUCACAAGCAACAUUCCUUACUCAGUUUUGUCUUCAAAUUUGGUGGUUUGCAAUGCAAUUUCAAAACAAGUCUCUUGUGUGUCGAGGCAAGUUGCAGAAAUCACACUAGACUUUCUAGUUCUCCUUAACCUUCAUCUAGGCUUUUUUAUUAGUUACAAUAGCCGCUAUCUCUAUUAUUGUAGCAUUGAAGGCUGAAUUUUCAAUUAAGGCAUUAGUAUGGAUCUUUCCCAUCAUCACUAUCCUUUAGCUUUCUUCUCUUCUUACCUCCGUAAAGACUUCUAUAAUAAAGGGUAGUAGCUCUUUUCCUAAGAUACGACCUCUCACCUCAUCUAAAUUCACAUUGAGUCCAACAAAAAUCUCAAAUACAUGGUCCUUCUCUAAUGUCUUUUUGAAUAAGGCACUAACUCAUAGAAAAGAUCAAGUUCUUGCCACAACCCUUUGAGAAUGUCAUAAUAUUUUGUACCUUAUUAUUUCUUUACCUGGUCUCAUGGAUCUUUGUCUUGAUUUCAUAGACUUUUGCAAAAUUGCCUAAAUCUAAGUAUGUCUCACUUACUCCAUCUCAUAACUCCUUUUUAGUGGAAAAAAGCAUAUCUGUUUGACCAAUUUCUAGGUCCACGGAGUUCACAAGCUAGGACAUCAUCAUCGAGUCUUUUGUAUCCCAAGUAGAGUAGAGUAUGUUGGAUCAUCCUCUUUUGGAACCUUUCUCUAAUGAACAGUUUUAUGGACUGAGACCACCUUCAAAAAUUUUGUCCAUUCAAUAUGUGGGUUGUAAUUUGCAAAGAAAGAUUGUCCAUUGAACCUAGUGGUGGAACUUGAGAAUUCCAAGCACUCAUUUGCUUCGAAGGGUCACCUAACACCCAAUCUUUAGAAACUCCAGACAUUGCAAAUAUAGUUCACUAAUUCUAAAAAAAAAAAAAUGAUGAUGGAGACUCGAAGAAUAAUCUUCUACAAUUCUAAUAAAAACCAUUAAACAACCAAUUUUCCUAAAAGUAUAAACUUUGUAGGAUUUGAGCUCACAAUGUAUAUAUCAUGCAGUCCAACAUCCUCUCUCGCAUAGCGCCUUUUUUAGGCUUACACAUGGGCUUAAUAAAUUAUGGAAAUAAAGUGGUCUCCUUUUGGGCUUAAUAAAUUAAGGAAAUAAACAUAUGGUGAGGUUCAAACACAUGACAUCCCACCAAAUGACACUCUGAUACCAUAUUAGAUAACCAAUUUUCCUAAAAGCUUAAGCUUAUAGGAACAAGGCCCACCAUGUAGAUCAUAUACUCCCAACAGAAACAUCCAGAACAAACAAAUACCGCUGGUUUUAAUGGCGCGAAUCAGCAAGUAAUUUACCAUCCCAGAAAGGCUGGCUCUGAUACUAUGAACAUAGGAUUGGACAAAAUAUUUUCUGAAUUCUCAUUUAUGAUAAUAAAGUCACAAAUAUACAAGCCUAUUCAUACAUAGUAUAGUCUACAGAAAAGAUACAUAUGCACAUAGGAAACUCAGCCCACAAAAUAGGAACUAACUGCAUUUAAAAAUAGGCAUCAAAUUAGUAGGAGAUAAUUUUGAAUUUUCCUCCUAAUUCAUUAUAGUAAAUCCACUUAAAUCUUUCCACACUAAGAUAUAUUCCAAUAGACGUGAUAAAUACUAUGCAUAAGCUCCUUUAUUUUGUUGAACAACUAACUGUUUAUGCCCCUUUUUCAAUUUAUAUACCUGAAAAUUACAGCAUAUUGAAUUUUGUAACAAACAAACCAUUGCAGAAGUUAAUGUAAUAACAAAUUUUUAUCAGUAUUUCAACAGCAAGCAUGAUUAGUCACUCCAAAAGGCCUAUGUCCUAGAACUUUACAACCUCCUACUCCUUACUCCACUUUUGAAAGUAUGACUACUUGAGAGUGAGAUGCACCUGAACCUCUAGAAGGUGAUGUGGAAUCUCUUUCAGAAAUCUUGAAGGUUGAAGCAUCUGGAAAGAUGAGAUAACACACAAAAAAAAAAAAAAGGAUCAAACAAAAUAAAUAAAAUAAAAAUAACAACAGUUAAUUUAAAAAUUAAAAAAAAAAAUGUUACAAGAAAGUAUUAUGUAUAACAAACCUGCCAACUUGAAUCCAUGAGAACAUAUAGAAUGAACAGUUUUUUUCUAGCUCGAGUCAUCCCCACAUACAACAGGCGUCGCUCCUCCUAAAAUUGUCAAAUGAAAGGAGUCGUUAAGUUUCACAAAAGAAAUAAAAUACAUAAAUUUUAAUUGUAAAAAAAGAAAAGAUGAACAGUUCUCCAUGACUGAAUGCCUACCUCUAUUGAGGUACCAUUUUCCUUCACAACACCAUUAAAUUCAUGCAACAGAGGGAUCUCAGAUUCAUUUGCCUGUAUAAUUAAGGCAAGGGUUAACAAAAGAUGAGAUCAAUGAUUCAAAAGCUACACUGAAUGAAUGAAUACUUAAUAUUUUCAAUCCUAGUGACUUAACAAAAGGAUUUGGCACCAUAUAGAACAGAAUGGCCACAAAGAAUACUUUGGUAUCGCUGCAAAUGCCACCUAUAAAUGUUCUGCUAAUCACCAUAUGCAAUUAUUGCUCUUUACAAUUUUUAUCAUUGUUAAAGAUUUUGAGGGGUCCUCCAUGACAUCCAUGUUUGGAGCUUAUGUUACACCAAGCAUUUAAAACCCAGACCACACAGUUACAGAAUUUUUCUGAAAUCACUUAUAAGACAACCUAGUGAGAGGUGAACAUUACAUGACAAAGCAAAAAAAAAUUCACGUGACAUUAUAUGUUCUCCAAUAUUUUUAAAAACUUUCGCAGUGAUGCUCAAUGAACAAAGAGAGUAACAAAUGCAUUCAAUUUAUGCAAAUUUUUAAUGUGUCUAUAUUUCCAUAUAUGCUGGCACAACAAAAGGAUGGCCAUUAAUUUAAAAGACUAAAACCAAGUAGGUUACAAGGGAAAAAAAAAACCUAGAAAACUUUAUAGGUUCGUAAAAAUAAAAUAUAAAAAUAAGGACUGAAGAGACUGUUUAUUUGGAUGUCCCCCUUUUAAAUAAAAGCCCCCCAUUCGACACGGGGGUAUAAAAUAUGCUUUUAUUAUAAACUACAAAUCAUGGAAUACAUGAAUGAUAGGUUCACCAACAGAAUAAGGAAGACUAAAAACAAAGUGCAAGAGACACUGUCCAGAUAGAGCUUUUAUUAGAUGAAAUGGAAGCACUCUAAAGGAAUAAGGUGGCUGUUAUGGAUAAUAACAACUUGUUAUCAUGAAAAGAACAGCUGAUAUAACAUCAGAUAGACAAAAGACACAAGCAGAGAUAGUGAGCAAUUGUGGUCAAGUACCUUCACUAUAAAAACAGUAUCCCACUCUAAGCCCUUUGACUGCACAUGGAAAUAAAAGGAAACUCCAAGUAAACAAAACAAAAUUAAUUCAAGGCAACUUUCAUAACCAAUAGCAUGGAAAAUUAAAAGGACUGGUUUUUUAUAGUAUUCAUUCCUUAGAAUGCAAGGUGUAUAUAUACGAAAAAUCAGGUAAAUUAUAGGGAAAUUCCAGCAAUUUUUUUUAUAGGUAAAUUUUUGUCCUCAUUGGGGCUUGAACCUAGAACCUCCCACAAACCCUUCCCAUCCCUUUACAAUAAGAAAUUCAAGUGAAAGGAAACUACAACUAAGAAAUAUUACACUAUACAACUAGAAUCAAAUCAAAUUGAUUUAGGAAACAAAUCAGUCCCUUUAAUCUGUCAAUCAAUGUGUAUAGGCUUUACAACCUGUAUGGAUCUGUCAACACUCCCCCUCAAGUUGGGAAGCAAAUAUUGUCCAUUCCCAGCUUGCUAGCAAUCUCUUGAAAUGAUUUGUUAGCCAAGCCCUUAGAAUAUCUACUAGUUGCCUAAUUGUUGAGAUGUAUGAGAUCUUCACGUAUAACCUUCAACCACAAUAACUCACUCACAAUUCCCAUGUGCCAUGGCACUUCUCCAUGUCACCAAAUUCCCCAUAGGAACAUAUAAUAUUAAGAUAUUGGUCUUCUAUCAACUAAAGAGUCUGCCCAAUUUGCAUCCAAAUAAACCCCUAAACUAAACAAUUCAUUUCUUUUCAUAUAUAAUUUCUUUUCCCAAGGUGAACUUCAGAUAACGAAGGAUUCUGUUGAUAGCUUCUAGAUGAACCUCCUUCAGAUAAGGCAUCAAUUGGCUCACCACACUCACUUCAUAGGUUAUACCUAGCUUUGUAAGACAUAAAUAAAUCAGUUUACCCACUCGACAUUGAUAUCUAUCACAAUCCACUAUUGUAUCUUGACUUCUCUAAGCUUACGAUUUGGUUAUAUGGGGACAUGAGCAAGCCUAUAACAAAGCAUCCUUGUCUCCUUAAGAAGAUCAAGGAUAUAUUUUUGUUGCAAGAUGAAGAUUCCACCUUUUGAGUGAGCAACUUUAACACCCAAAAAAUACUUUAGUCUUCCCAAAUUCUUGAUCUUGAAUUCUUUAGGUAGCCACCUUCUAAGAUUAUCUAUUUCUUGAAGAUCAUCACCUAUCACAAUUAUAUCAUCCACGUAGACUAUCAAAGUUGUUACUUUGCCAAAUGAUGAGUGUUUGACAUAAAAAGCGUGAUCUCCUUAGCUUUGUUGAAAUCUCAUAUCAACCACAACUUUAGCAAAUCCCCCAAACCACACUCCAGGAGAUUGCUUUAACCCAUAUAACACUUUUUUUAACCUACACAUAUUGUUGUUCUUAAAAGCUUUAUCAAAUCCUAGAGAAGCCUCCAUAUAUACCUUUCUUCUAAGUCACUGUGCAGAAAAGCAUUUUUAACAUCAAACUACUACAAAGGCCAACCAAGAUUAGCUACCAAAGAUAAUAACACACCAAUUGUACUCAUUUUACUACAAGGAUGAAGGUCGAUCCCUAGGAAAUCUGCUCCAUAGGUUUGAGUAUAUCCCUUGACUACUAAUCUAGCUUUAUACCUUUCCAAAGUCCCGUUAGCCUUAUAUGUUAUUGUAAAUACCCAUUUACACUCAAUUGGCCUUUUUCUCUUAAGAAGCUCAACAAUCUCCCAAGUUUGGUUUUUCUCGAGAGCCCUCAUCUCCUCAUUCAUAGCUUUCUUCCAAUUCUCAUUCCUAAGUGCCUCUUGGCCUGUUUGAGGGAUUUUCUCAAGAUUUAAUUAGGAAAGAAAGCCUCAAUAUGAUGGGGUUAUUAAAGGAAAAUGAUGUUGGAUAUGGGAUGUUGGGUACAUUUUCUGAUUCCUUUCUCGAGAGCAAUAGGUACAGACAAAUCCUCAAAGACUAGUAAAUCAAUGGUAGGCACUUUUUGAAUGUGGUCACUUUGUUUCUUAGAAGAUGGUGGAGAAAAAUAAGGGUAAAUUUCAAUACGUGUUGGUGGUUUGGAGUAUUGGGCUUGCAUCAAAUCAAAAGGUAACAAUCUCCUUCUUCAAUAAACUCAUGAUGGUAGUGUGUCAUCAACCCUCUCUCCCUCAUUUCUAGGAGGUAAGUCAAUGGUUUUUUUUGGAAGGAGAAUUGGCGAUUGGUGGAGGGCCACCAACGGGAACAACAACUAAAGGACUUGGUACUAUGGGUUCUAGGUUGCUAUUGGUAUCUUGAAAAGUAGGUAGAUCAAGGAACAAAUAUAAAUCCCCUUUGUCUUUGAGUACUAACUCCCCCUGAAGAUGAAGGGUAGGAAUGAAAGUCUAAUUUUUUGCAAAAGCGACAUCCAUGGAUACAAAUAAUUUUUUCAAGGUUGGAUGGUAACAUUUAUAUCCCUUUUUAGUUGGGAAAUAGUCAACAAAAAUACACUUAAGAGCCUAGGGAUCCAACUUACUACAAUGAUUGGCAUGACUAUGUACAAAACAAGGACAACCAAAUAUCUUUGGAGGAAUUUGACAUAAACCAUGAAAUUGAAGGAAAAACCUAUAAAAAAGAAAAAAAUAGCAACCAGAGUUUUGUUGCCUAAUGUUCUAGGGGGUAGUCAAUUGAUUAAGUGUGUUGCAAUUAGAAUUGCUUCCCCUCAAAAUCCUUUGGAAAAUCUUUCUGGAAUAAUAAGGCUCGAGUUAUUUCAAGGAGAUGAUGGUUUUUUCUUUCAGCAACCCCAUAUUGUUAUGGGGUGUCAAUACAACAAGACUGGUGGACAAUCCCUUCUUUUUUAAGAAAGGGUGACAAGAUUUGGUUAAAAUACUCUCUUCCAUUUUCAAUCGUAUGCUUUUAAUCUAAACUCCAAAUUGAGUACUAAUCAUUUAUGCAACACCGGAAACACAAAAAUCACAUCAAAAGAUUCAUGGACAAUCCCUUCUUUUUGAAGAAAGGGCAACAAGAUUUGGUUAAAAUACUCCCUUCUAUUACUAGACUUAUGCUUUUAAUCCGAACUCCAAAUUGAGUACUAAUCAUUUUCUAAAACACUAGAAACACAAAACUCACAUCACAUUUAUUUUUAGAAGGAAUAUCCAUGUAAUUCUAGAACAAUCAUCAAUAAGAGAAACAAACCAACGAGCCCCAUUAAUAUUAGGAAUGCAAGCACCCUACACAUCCAUGUGAGUUAAAGUAAAAGAAGUAGAAGAUAUUACUCAAGGGAAAAGGAGCACGAUAGUGUUUGGCCAAUUGAUACACUCCACAAUGAAAAUGAUUAGCAUCCAUACUCUUAAAUAACAAAGGGAACAUUGUUUUUAACACAGAAAACAAAGGAUGUCAUAAAUGAAAGUGAAGUAGUGAAAUCUCGGCUUUAUUGAAUGAAAUUUCUCUGAAAGAUGAGUCAAAGAGAGACAAUUACUGCUCCAAUUCUCCUAGUAUGAACAAUCUUCAGAAUAAGCAUUGUUGGCCUGUGCACGUCGCUAUAGCAUUGCAAUUGCCAUUGUUUCUACCAAAGGACUGUGGUUUCGCAUGAAGUUUCCAACAAUUAUCCUUAGUAUCCCUUGGUUUUUUGCAAUAAUUACACUAAAGGUUGUCCUUAUUGCUCAAUGGCCUUGGUUGAUCACUCUUUCCACCUUCCAUUGUAGCUCUACUUCCUGAAUUAGAUGGGCCAGAAUUUGGUUUUGUAGUGGCAAGAGUUGAUCCCUCCAUGGUUGGAUAAUUAAGCAUCACAAUUCUCUUUCCUUCUUAUGAUUGAGAAAACCUCAUUCAAUGAUGGCAGUGAUUCCCUACCAAGAACUUGGACCCUUACUUAUCAUAUUCCACAUUAAAACCAAGAAGAAAUUCAAAAUUCCUCUCUUUCAAAAAAUUUUUGUGUCAUUGUUGCAUCAUCGUUGCAUAAUAAUCUAAUUCAAGCCACAACCUUUUCAUCAUAUUUAAGUACUCAAUAAUGGAUAAACUACCUUGCUUGGUGACUGUAAUUUUGGUCUUUAUCUCAUAAAUCUGAGAAGCAUCUUGUAUUUUGGAAUAGGUUUGUCUAACAACCCCCCAAAUCUCCCUCACUGUUAUGAAGAACAUACACAUCCCACUAACUUCCGAUUACACUAAAUUCAAAAACCAAGACAUAAUCAUUGAAUCCUCUACAUCCCAAGCAACAAAUUUAGGAUCAUCUUCAUGGGGCACAGAGCCUAUUAGGUGACCUAAAUUUCCUUUGCCCUUAAGAGAGCUCCUCACAAUUUGCGACCACACUAAGUAAUUGCGACCAUUGAGCCUAAACAAGGCUUGCAGGUUCUGGUAUUCUCUGGCUGAAUGUUGGGUGGCUGUUGAGAACAGAUCAGCUUUGAUUUUGGUCCCAAGGGCCAUUUCAAAGGUUACAGACAUUUUGAACAGAGCGGAUAGAGGAAUUAAUCAAAAACCAGGUUGAACAAAAGAGAAUGAUGAAGAAUCUCUAGCAAUAAGGCUGAGAAACUUUUCUGCCAGCAAUGAAGGCCGCAAUACUUUUUAUGGCAAUUAAGGCCAAAAACGAUACUGAACAAGCUUAGGGCUCUGAUAUGAUGUGGAAAAUUAAACUGACUGAAUUUUUAUUGUAUUCAUUCCUUAGAAUGCAAGGUGUAUAUAUACAAAAAAAUCAGCUAAAUUAUAGGCAAAUUUUCAGGAUAUAAUUGAAGCUAUACAAGGAAACUACAACUAAAGAAUAUUACACUACAACUGGAAUCGAAUCAAACUGAUUUAGGAAACAAAUCAGCCCCAUUAAUCAGAAAAUCAAUGUGUAUAGGCUGUACAGCCUGUAUGGAUCUGUCAACAAAUAGGAAAAUCCAUGGAAAUAAAAUAACAAGCAGCUAUUUAAUCAAAGGAAAAGAAAACCUGAUGAAUGGUAGUCAAUGUGACAGACUCUUCAUUAUCAUGUCUGCGAGAACGAAAAUUUUCUCUCUCCCUCUCAGAUAUGAAGUCAAUAAAAGCUUUUAGUACAUGACCACAGCCGCCUUCUUUUACAAUAAUAUCACUCUCCUCUUUGCUUGCAGUAAAUUUCGUUGAUAAAAAAUCAGAGACAUCAUCCAGGAGAUACUGUAGAACCUGCAGGUAGAGCAGGCAGAUGCCAAAAUCAAAUAUUGAACCCAAGAUGCAGGAGGACAUAUGGAUCAACUCUAAAAAUGGCAGUACCCAAAAUGCAUGAAAUCUGCACAAAAAAAUGAAAUGGACAUGUUGAGGGUUCAUUGUGCAUCAUAGGGUGCCUCUUUUUGUUUAUUUUAAGUCUUUUAUUCAAAUAAGGCAAUGAAUGGCUAGGACUUCAACAUCUUAGUGGCUAGGAUUUAAUUGUAUAGUGCAGCAUUGAUGAGUAAUUUUCUGUAUUCUUUGCCAUCAGUUUUUGGAUGGAACUCUAAUUGAAAAUAGAAGACAGCCCACAUAGCCUUUCUUUCAACCACCUACUGGUGUCUUAGGGUUUAUCAACCCUAAAGCUUAUUUCUUCUUGCUUCGUUCUUACGUUUUUUCUUAAUUUCUUUUGCUUUGGUGAGGCCAUUGGACAGAGUUGAGUUUAAACAAUCUACACAGCACUGAAGUAUAAUUUUUUUUUUACUCCUCUCCAACUUUUCAUGCAUCAAUGAUGGAUGCACCAAACAUUUGGGCAAUGAUGAAGUGAAUUGAAACUUUGUGGAAACAAUGACGCCCUGCUUUAAAUCACAAGAAAAUCACAGACAAUUCUCUACUCAUGGAAAGGAUUACACAAAAGGUUUGACAAAGUCCUUUUCAUUUCAUUCUACAAACAGCUUUGCUUCAUUAAUUUAUUUAUAAUCUAUAGAAUAUUCUUCUGUCAAUCAUAUUACUAAUCCUCUUUUACCUAUCAAAAAAACAAUAUUACUAAUCAUAACACUUCGGGUAUGGGCUUAUAAAUAAUUGCAAUAACAUUCUUUCUUUUUGCCUUCAUGAAGGAGUUAUUCGACUUCAGACCUACAUUUGUUAAAAAUUGUGGUUGCCAACUUUUCCAUUUUCAUAACUUUGAGUAGGAAGAGAAUGCUAAGACAGAAAUGUCAACUUUUCUAUUUUCAUAACUUUUGAGUAACAAGAGAAUGUUAAGACAUAAAUGUCAAUAAUAAUUCCUCAUCAAAAUAAACUAAUUUAUAGCACAUCUAACAAGAAACCAGCAAAGUAAUCAGCAACUAUUUGAAAACAUCACUAACCUAUCAGAAAAUGAAACUACUCUACAGUCCAUCAACUUGUCAAUUCUCUAAUACUUCCAAUUAUAUUAAAUUUCAAAGGUCCCUCGAAAAUACCAAAGCUGCUUCAAGUUUAGUAUGUAUAAUUUGUAACAAACAAAUAAUCACCAAACCCCACCCAAUACCUCCCAGAGCUUGACUGAGAAACAGGGGGAAAAAAGGAACAUGAGGGAAUGUUUCAGUCAUCUUUCCCAAGCCUCCAAUGGAAACCAAACAAAUCAUCUUAAAAGUAGACAUUGAACUCCAAUCUAGACCAUAGUCAACAUAUCUAUUCACAAAUGAAGCUAAGAAGAAUGAAAAGAUAAACAAACUCAAAGCAACACACAUCCAACCAACUCAAUUUGGCUGAAUAAAAUGUGAGGAUGGAAUGUUAAAUAAAGUAAAGCCAUUAUGGAGAAUAUUAGGUGUCCAAAACUCGUUCUUGAGCCCUGACUCAAGAGGAAGUGGUAAAGGGUUGGGUUUGCAGGAGGUUCCAGGUUCAAAUCCCAAUUGGGACAAAAAUUUACCUAUCAGAAAAAAAAAAAAAAGCCCCAAACUCAGUGUGCAAACAUCAGCUUGCUGACCUAGAAAAAUUUAUGGGAAAAAGAACCAAGAGAUGCAUUAACUACCUCAAAAUCAUCUAUGGAAGGGCAAGCAAUUAGGAUAGGGAUGUAGGAGGUUCUAGAUUCAAUUGCAUGGAACUAAAAAACAAAAAAACGCCUAUAAAGACAAUCUAUAGAAGAUCCAAUAUGGAUGCACACUUUGUUAAACACUAAUUUUGUUAAAGGCUAAGAAUUUGAGUGACUCUUACAUCACACUUGGCCAUGGCUGAAAUCAUUAUGAAACCCCAUCUAAGAUUUUCUAAUUGCAACAACCUAUGUUACAUGGGUUUGAGUACACUUAUCAGGUGUUGGUGUGGGUGUGUCUUGAAGUCUGAUCUUUCAUAUUUCAAAUUGGAGGAUACUAAGACUCAACUAAAAAAUGAUAUUGAAUGGCAUUUGAAUAUGACAUUAAAAAAAGAAACAAAAAUAGUAAGAAAUAAAUUAGAAGCAAAAAAAUAACAUAUCCUUGAUUAAAAAACUCUCCUUUUACUUUUUAUUCCUCUUUGUUAAAAUGAAAAAAAAUAAAAAAUAAAAAAUAAAAAUGUUCAUUAUCUGAAGCAAAUUAGGAGUAUCCAACAAGAAUCCCCUACUCACACUCUUGUCAUGUCACAUUGAUCUAGGUACCUCAAGUGAAGUUGAAAAGUUCAGAUGUCACAGGUGACACUGAAUCAAACAAAUCAUGACCAAGUUGCUCUAUGGUAUCAAGCAUGAAGAAGUUCUAAAGCAAAGAUGAAAAAUUUGAUAUGAUAUGUCAACAUGACUCAAAAACAAAAGCAAAUUAACAAUUGAAUGUAAUUAUGUCAACUUCUAUAACUCAUUCAAUGAACAAGUCAUUUCAAGUUUAGAUACUCGGCUUCUCCAACCAUUAGUUAAUCAAGUUAAAAAUGGCAUGAAUACAAUCCAGCCUGUGUAACGUAUAUAAAUUGAUUAAUUGUUUAUAUUUUAAAUUUAUAAAAAUUAAAAUUAAAAAUAAAUAAAACUUCAUUUUUUACUUAUAAAUAAAAUAACUAUAAAAUUAAAGUUUGACUUUAUCUUCCAUCUUAUAAACAUUUUAUGCUUCAAAAUUAAAUAACAUAAUUAGGAUUAAAAAAAAAAAACCUAAAAACAACCAAUUCAGUAUUUUGAGAAUAAUAUUGAUAUAUAAUUAAAAUCUUAAAUAAGUUAAACGAGUUAGAAAUGUUGAUCAGUUUAAUGGGUGGUUAAAAUCAUGUUAGCGUGUUCUUCAAGUCAAUUUGUACAUAGUCCAUCCCAACCCAUUUAUCAAACAAGUUACGUGUCUUAUGUUGUGUUACCCAUAAGUAACAUGUCCUACUCCUAUCAUCUUGACAUGAUCAUUAAACAAGUCAUGUUCAAGUUAGGUAAUGUUUAGUAUUUUUUACAUCAACUUUGUACACACAUCAGCCCAUCCAUUCUCACCCUAUUCCAAGGUCUUAUUGGAACUACAUUUAAUAUGGAUUAACUACAAAAUUAUGCAUUUUCAGUAAAAUAACUAUAUUUGAAAUAGAAGAGCUUUGAAUUCUUAAUAUUAUCAUGGACCAAUCUGAAAUCAUGCAUUUACAAUUGUUUAAACAACGUCAAAUAAGGUAAACAUUUUUAUCUAAUUUAUUGAGUCCAUAAGAUUGUCUUUAUUUUUCUAGAAUUGUUAUUAUUUCAUCUUAGAUUUUUUGGAACUUUUUAAGUAAUGUAUUGUGUAUAUAGCCUAAUAUUGACCUAAGAUACCAUGACAAUCUAUCUCUGAACCUUCACAAUGAAUGGUCAAUGCCACGACUUUAAACCAUGCUCUUACCUCAUAUAGCCUAAGAGAAUCAGUCAAAAUCAUGGUUUUGUAUUAUGCUGUUGGAUCAAAUGAAUCCAAGUCUCUAAGAAGUUUAAUAAACAACAAAAGACGUUUCAAAAAUCACAAAAAGGCCAGAACUAAAAGCAUUCUAUUAAGGAAAAGGGUUGCUAAUUAUAAUAGAAUUUUUACACACUAAGGCAAAGAUGAAGAGGAAGAAGCUUCGGGCCAAAAAUUGAAUACAUCUAUACCAAAGCUAACAAGCUAACAAACAUAGAGGCAAUGUGGAGAAAGCCUUCUUUAAGCUAGUUGGAGUAGGACUAGAUAUUGAAGUGGAACUCCUAAACCAGCAAUGCUGUAGCUACCACUGAGGCUCCAGCAACUUGGGUACAAACAAACCACAAGAAGAUCUUAAUUAGCAUCAACAUCCUCAAUAGUACACAACACAUAUCCAAUAACCAUUGAACACAACCUCUUUUUUCCACAUCCUCUGCACUUGUUUUGCAAGAAUUUUGAAAUAGUAAACAUUAACAAACCAUAAGUAAAAUACACAAAAUGAAACAUCUAUGAAGCUAUGGAGGGCACCAAAUGUCAGUUAUUGCUUGCAGCAAGGUCAAAGUGCAUGUGAGAAUCAUCAAAAUCUAGUGGGUCAGCUGGCUUUACUAUCAGACUGAAACAUAGAAUCAGGAAAAGAACAAUGCCAUAUUCAUAAGCUAUCAUAAUGCACCAGUCCAAAAAUUCCGAACUUACAGAUCUAAUGUCAUUGUCUUCAUUCAGCAAUUUCCCUCCAUCAACAUCAACAACUGCUCGCUGCUCAAGUAGGUAUUUCUACAAAUUUAAAUGUGUAUUGGAACAUGACAAAUGUUAAUGUAGGUAUAAUGCACCAAAAUCAAGGUAUUUUAAUCAUUGAAAAGAGAGUCAUCAUUUUGUAGAUGAAAGAAAGUAACAAAAGACCAGGGCCAACUCACUGCAGUCCACCAGAAAAGCAAAGAAAAUUAAGUAGCACAUCAUGCUUAUAAACACAGAAAAAAAUAACACACAUAAGACAAAGUUGCAGCUAGAUUCAGCAUUUUGCUGAUUGAUAAUAAAAGUGGACAGUCAGAAAACAAAUAUACAAAACUUAACAAGAUAGGAAAAUAAAAGAUGCAUGUGAACAAGAUAGAAGAAAAUCAGGAGAAACAUCAACAGAGUUUUGAUCUACAUAACCCUUAAGAGGACAAAUUCAUAUUUGAAAAUUAGUUCUAACAACCAACAUUUUUUUUAAAUGGGCAAUAACAACCAACUAAUAAAAAUCAGAAUACUUGAUUAAGAAACAAGGAAAAUCAGUGCAUAAUGGAACCCUAUUCUACUACAUUAAAAUUAUUAAUUUUUUGAAAACCAGAAAGUGAUAUAAAUAAUAAUCACAUUUUACAGGUAACACUUUGAAUGAUAAUCCAUAUUCUGAAAACCAUAAGCAUGACAUAAUUCAGGAAAUAACAGUUGUUGAGAGAGAGAGAGAGGAGAAAAACCUUAUUCUCAUUCAUUGUAAUCUCUACUUACAAUUGAGAGAUAUAUAUAUACAAGGCUAGGAGUCCUAACUACCAUACAUGUGACCUAUAUUAACAAGGAAAGAUAGUAUACUAUACAUACAUUAUAUUCAACACUCCCCCUCAAGCUGGAGCAUAUACGUCAUAUGCACCAAGCUUGUUACAAAUAUAUUUAAUCCUAGGACCUCUGAGAGAUUUAGUGAAGAUGUCUGCUAGUUGAUCAUUUGAAUUGACAAAACUUGUAGCAACACAUCCUGAUGCGAUCUUCUCUCUAAUGAAAUGACAGUCAACUUCAAUAUGCUUGGUCCUUUCAUGAAAGACUGGAUUGGAUGCAAUAUGUAAUGCGGCCUGGUUAUCACAGAUGAGUUUCAUCUGUUCAUCCUUUCCAAAUCUCAACUCCUGAAGAAGAUGUCUCAACCAUAUGUGUUCACAUGUUGCCAAAGCCAUAGCUCGAUACUCGGCUUCAGCGCUAGAUCUGGCCACUACAUCUUGUUUCUUACUUUUCCAAGAUAUUAGAUUACCUCCAAUAAAAACACAGUACCCUGAAGUGGAACGUCUAUCUGUGGGUGAGCCAGCCCAAUCUGCAUCUGUGUAACCAACAACUUGAGUAUGACCUCUGUUCUCGUACAAUACACCUUGGCCUGGUGUACUUUUGAUAUAUUGAAGGAUACGGAUUACGGCAUCCCAAUGGCUAUCACAUGGUGACUGUAGGAAUUGACUAACAACACUCACAGGAAAAGAAAUGUCUGGACGAGUAAUGGUGAGAUAGUUCAAUUUACCUACGAGCCGUCGAUAUCUCCCGGGGUCUCCUAAAGGCUCCCCCUGUCCUGGUACAAGUUUGACAUUCGGAUCCAUAGGUGUGUCUACCGGUUUACAGUCUAACAUACCGGUUUCUUCCAGGAUGUCUAAAGCAUACUUCCUUUGGGAAAGGACCACACCAGAACUGGAUUGAGCUAUCUCAAUUCCCAAGAAAUACUUGAGUUUCCCCAAGUCUUUGGUCUGAAAGUGGGUAAAAAGAUGUUGCUUUAGUUUCUGAAUACCAUCCUGAUCACUGCCUGUAAUGACGAUGUCGUCCACAUAAACAACCAGAUAAAUACACUGCCCCAAGGAGUUAUGAUGAUAAAAAACUGAAUGGUCUGCUGUACUGCGAAGCAUGCCAAACUCUUGAACAACAGAACUAAAACGGCUAAACCAUGCUCGAGGAGAUUGUUUCAAGCCAUAUAGAGAACGGCGUAACCUGCACACUAAACCAGACUCCCCCUGAGCAACAAAACCAGGAGGUUGCUCCAUAUAAACUUCCUAGGCAAGAUCACCAUGAAGGAAGGCAUUUUUAAUAUCCAACUGAUAAAGAGACCAAGAACACAUAGCAGCCAUGGAGAGAAGCAAGCGGACAGAAGCAAUCUUGGCAACAGGGGAGAAUGUGUCACCAUAAUCAGAACCAUAAACUUGAGUAUAGCCUUUAGCAACUAAACGGGCCUUAAGGCGAUCAACCUGACCAUCAGGACCAACCUUAACUGCAUAGACCCAACGACAACCAACUGUAGAUUUACCAGAGGGUAAAACAACAAGAUCCCAAGUGCCAUUAGAGUGCAGAGCAGCCAUUUCAUCCACCAUUGCCUGUCGCCAGCCUGGAUGGGAAAGAGCUUCAUGGGUGCUCUUUGGAAGAGAAACAAAGGAUAUAGCAGAAACAAAAGCAGAAUAGGGUGAAGAUAAUCGAUGAUAACUCAAAAAAUUGUAAAUAGGAUGAGGAUUACGAGUAGAGCGAGUACCUUUCCGAACAGCAAUAGGUAAGUCAUUAGGAGAAGGCAGAGCCGAGGCAGGUGAAGCCGAAGGGAUAGGAAGUGAGUCAGCAGGUGCCUCAGGAAAAGGGAGAGGAGCAACGACACGAGGGCGACGAUGAUAAACCUGAAGUGGUCGAGGGGGCAUAACAUCAGGUGGGGAGACAAUGGGAAUGGGCAAGACUUCAGAAACAGGAAGAGACUCAGAAGUGGUGGAAAAGAAUGGUGAGUCCUCAAAGAAGGUGACAUCAGCGGAGAUAAAGUACCGAUGAGUCUCAAGGGAAUAACAACGAUAACCCUUCUGAAGUCUGGAAUAUCCCAAGAAGAGGCACUUCAUGGCUUUGGCGGAAAGCUUGUCCUGUCCAGGAGUGAGAAUAUGAACAAAGCAAGUACAACCAAAGACACGAGGAGGAAGGAAAUAAAGUGGUUGGUCAGGGAAAAGAAGGGAGUGAGGAAUCUGAUCGUGUAAGACAGAGGAGGGCAUACGAUUAAUCAAAUAACAAGCAGUAAGAACAGCGUCCCCCCAAAAGCGAAAAGGAACAUGACUAUGGAGGAGGAGAGUACGAGCUGUCUCAACAAGAUGUCGAUUCUUGCUUUCAGCUACCCCAUUUUGUUGAGGAGUAUGAGCACAAGAAGACUGAUGAAGAAUCCCAUGAUGAGACAUAAACGAAGUAAAUUGGGCUGAAAAAUAUUCCCUAGCAUUGUCACUGCGUAACACACGAAUAGAAAUAUUGAACUGGGUUUGGAUUUCAGUAUAAAAUUUCUGGAAAAUAGAGAAUAACUCAGCUCGAUUUUUCAUUAAAAAUAACCAAGUACAUCGAGAAUAGUCAUCAAUGAAAGUGACAAAAUACUGAAAUCCUAAAGUAGACGCAGUCCGACAAGGACCCCAAACAUCAGUGUGGACAAGCUCAAAAGGAGACUUUGCCCGAUUAUUCAAACACUUUGGGAACGAGACACGAGUAUGUUUCCCAAGCUGACAUGACUCACACGGAAGCGACGACAAAGUUGAAAAACGAGGAACCAUCUUCUGGAACUUGGAGAGACUAGGGUGGCCCAGACGAUUGUGAAUGAGGAGAGGAGCAUCAGUGGAAAUGCAAACUGCAGGAGAUGAAUCUGAGGUGAGGUGAUAGAGGCCUUGAGACUCACGUCCUAUGCCAAUCGUCUUCCCCGUACUCCGGUCCUGCAAGGUCACAAAUUUAUCAGAAAAGGUAAUAGAGCAAUUAAGAGUACGAGUGAUUUUGCUGAUGGAAAUAAGAUUAAAAGGACAUUCAGGAGUAUAAAGGACAGAAGUGAGAGGUAUAGAAGGCAGAGGAAGGGCCAAACCAAUACCUUUAGCCACAGUUUGAGAACCAUUAGCUAAGGUAACAGUAGGUAAAUCAGAGGUAGUAGUAAUAGAGGAGAAAAGAUCCUUAUUACCAGAUAGGUGAUCAGAUGCUCCAGAAUCUAGAAUCCAGGGUCCAAGAGAAGAUGUGUGGGUAAGGCAGGCAGAGGCAUUACCAGGCUGGGCAAUAGAGGCAAUAGAAGCCUGAGAUGUCUGAGAUGCGGAGGAGCUCGGAAGCUGAGGCAGCGGAGAAUCAGAGGACUGGGCCAUAUGGGCAGUGCGAGGAGGUCUUCCAUGUAACUGAUAGCAACGAUCACGAGUGUGGCCAAGUUUAUUGCAAUAGGUGCAAUGAGGACGUUGGCCUCUACCUCUACCUCGGGUACCACUGCGUCCUCCUCGAGAGGUAGUUUGAGAAACUAACACAGAAAAAUCUGAAGCGCUAUCAGAUGGCAAAGUCUGAGUGGACGAGAUACGGAGGAGGCGAGCAAACACAUCAUCCAAGGACGGAACUGAUGAACUACCAAGAAUCUGAUCACGAAUAGGCUCAAGAUCCGGACGGAGGCCAAUAAGAGUAAAGACCAUGAAGAACUUGUCAAGCUGUGUUUGUUGAGCCCCAACAUCAGGAGUAAGAGGCAUCACAGUCAAGAACUGCUCCUUAAGAGAGGCAAUCUGACCAAUAUAAGUAGAUAGAUCCAAGUCCUGUUGGCUGAGAUGGACAAUAGCAGAAGCCACCUUAUAAAGACGCUGGAUAUCAUUUGUGUAUAAUCCUUUGGCCUGAGUCCAAAAUUUAAAACAAGUUUGAUAGGCCUGAAGAUGAAGAAGAAUCCGGGGAUCAACCGAUUGCCAUAUUACACUACACAACUGUGCAUCUAUCUUCCUCCACUGUACGCGAUCAACCUCAGGGAUAUCUGCCUCCUGGGUAACCAAGUGAUCCUCAUAUCCUUGACCCAUAAACCAAAGUUCAACAGAGGCAGACCAGGAGAGAUAAUUCUCACUGCCAACCAAUAUCUCUGAGGUAAUCAGAGGAGAUCCAGAGAGAACAGACGUAAAGAUCUGAUUUUUGGUGGUCAUAUUCACGUAUUUGGAUCGAAGAGAGCCCUAAGAUGGGUUCAGAUUUCGGCGGAGAGAGAAAAACAGUGAAACCACGGCUGUGAGAGGUGCAAUCAAUGGAGAAAAAAGGUCGUGACGUGCCUGGAGAGGAAGAGAAGCAACACCCAAGCCUCGGGGAUGGAGGGGGAGCCCUGUCGGAGGUGGCCGGAAUGGCAAGAAAGCCAAAAACAGGGAAAAAAAUGGAGAUGCAGGGCUCGGGGAGGACUGUCGGAGGGCUAGAAGGCCAAGACGGCGCCGGACGAGCCUGGAGAGGUGUCGGAAGUGGCCGGAAAGUGAGCCACGCGCCGUCAGGCGCCGGCGCGUGGGGGCGCGUGAGAUGCCGGUUGCCGGUGGGGUUUCCACUGGCGUGUAGAUCAGCCUCCGGCGGUUCGGAAUAUGUGGUCUUUGCCCGGAAAAAAGGUCGCCGGAAAAUUUCGCCGGAAAAGGUUGCCGGCAUGGUGGAGAUCCGACGGCGAUGAGGUUGUCCGGGGUGGUUCGGAAAGAGAGUGAGGGGACCGGAGUGAAAACACGGUCACUGGACGGUUCGCCGGAAUUGAGUACACGGCUAAACCGAAAAAAUUAGGUUUUCUCCUUUGGCUCUGAUACCAUGUUGAGAGAGAGAGAGAGGAGAAAAACCUUAUUCUCAUUCAUUGUAAUCUCUACUUACAAUUGAGAGAUAUAUAUAUACAAGGCUAGGAGUCCUAACUACCAUACAUGUGACCUAUAUUAACAAGGAAAGAUAGUAUACUAUACAUACAUUAUAUUCAACAACAGUAAUUCAGUAGCUGAACUCAAAUUUGUCAAAAUAUUGUAUGAAUGGCCGAAUACCUUGGCCUUGAGUUUUGUAUAUUAUAUAUAGACUUUACAAGGAUGCUAUACAUAGAAAGCAAAUAAAAGCAAAUAAAUUCCCGCAUGAUUCUAGCCCUAUACAUGUAAACUAUAAUCUCUCAAAUAAUAUAUGCUAACUGUACAGAAUAAUAAAUGGAGAAAUAAGGAAACAAUUGUGGGCUAAAAUAAGGAAAGAAGUGUGGGCUAAAAUAAGGAAAGAAGAAGUGUGGAUAGCAAGUUGUCCUUUAACAGCCCCCCUCAAAUUGAUGCAGGUUAAUCAACAAGCAUCAAUUUGCUACUUAGCAAGCAAUGUCGAUGACGAGGGAGAGCCUUGGUGAAGAUAUCAGCAACUUGUAAGUCAGUGGAAAUAUGUGGAAGAGUGAUAACACGAGCUUCAAAGGUUGCACGGAUAGAGUGACAGUCCACUUCAAUAUGCUUUGUGCGCUCAUGAUAGGCAGGAUUGGUCGUGAUCUGAAUAGCACUUGUAUUAUCGGCAUGUAGAGGUGUAGGAUCGGUCUCAGAAAAAUCUAACUCCACAAGCAAACCUCGAAGCCAAAUGAUUUCAAAACAAGCAAGAGACAUCUCCCGGUACUCAGAUUCCGUAGAUGACUUAGAGACUCUGUCUUGCUUCUUACUUUUCACAAACAUCUUAAACUAAAACUCCCAACUAAGAUAGUUUUUUUUCCAUUGAAACGAACAAUAGAAUAUUCUCCAGACAUUAUGAUGACAGAAAUAGCCUAGGAAACAAAAAAAAAAAAAAAAAAAAUAUCGUCAAAGAGCCUAAAUCUGAUAACAAACCUCCAAAUAAUCGAAGAUCUCCAAGAGCCUAGAAGCGAAGAAACCUAAAGAAAACUCCAAGAUCACACCACAGAUGUGUUGUCACAACCACCAGAAAAAAAAGAAGAAAAAGAACCGAAAAACUGGGCUAGAGUCCUAGAGCCCCUAGGGCUAAAUCCGAGAGCCCCUAAGGCUAAAUCUGAGAGCCCCUAAGGCUAAAUCCGAGAGCCCCUAGGGCUAAAUCCGAUAGCCCCUAGGGCUAAAUCCGAGAGCCCCUAGGGCUAAAAUCUUUGAGCCCUUAGGGCUAAAUCCGAGAAAACCCAAAGCAAAACUAGAAAGCGUGUAAACUCUAGGUUCAGAACACAAGCUCUGAUACCAUGUCAAAAUAUUGUAUGAAUGGCCGAAUACCUUGGCCUUGAGUUUUGUAUAUUAUAUAUAGACUUUACAAGGAUGCUAUACAUGGAAAGCAAAUAAAAGCAAAUAAAUUCCCGCAUGAUUCUAGCCCUAUACAUGUAAACUAUAAUCUCUCAAAUAAUAUAUGCUAACUGUACAGAAUAAUAAAUGGAGAAAUAAGGAAACAAUUGUGGGCUAAAAUAAGGAAAGAAGUGUGGGCUAAAAUAAGGAAAGAAGA